rnacentral:lncRNA from 1 species
GAGGUGGCGGCGGUAGCGAGAAGGAGGCAUUUUCAGGCGGCGCUUGUUGUUCCCAUUUCUUAUCCUCGAUUCGGCGUUAGGAAUGAAUUUGGCUUUAUAGUUUUAUUAUGCUCUUGCUUUACUGCUCAAACUUACUCAUGAAAACAGAAAUAGAAAAAAAAAAGAAAAAAAAAACGUGUGUGCAUGUGCGUUCUUGUUGACCACAAGGAAGAAGCCGGAUUUCUUCUGUCUACUUGAUCAUCAUGUCGGUGCAAACCCGGAAGGAGGGGACAAAGAUAUUCAUUGCGUUAGUGAUGCUGAGAUUUUUUAUAUUUAGAUUAUUUUAUUUAUAUUUUAUUUAAAAAAAUCAAGGGCUGUGAUUUCUUUAAGGUAUUUACCUCCUAAAAGAUAAGGGAGUACCACACAGCAAUAAUGUCCUAUAUAUACAUACAUGCAAACUAGCUCAUUGUCCUCUAUGAACACAGCGCAACAUUUUAUUCUUAGGGGACACUUUCGAAAGAUAAAUUAUAGAAGAGUAAAAUGCACCAUUAAUUAGUCCAACAACUUGUCCGUUUGUGUCACUAUGAUCCAUUAACUUUGAAAAUGUAUUUUUGAGUCUAAACCAUGGCCCCAGCCUCGGCCGCCACAGGCAAGCAUGAGCCUUGGCCCUAGCCUAACCAUGAAGCUUCUCACCAUGCCCAGGUCAUUUGGGUGCUUCCCUCUUCCUCUUCUUGCUUGAUCUAGAUUCACCUUGAUGCCAUGGACCUUAUCAGCUUCUCUGUUUUGUCAGUGGAUCAUCGGAGCCACCAUGACGCCAGUUCAAGCCACCACGCUCAUCUUCAAUGCCAGCAGCGGCAACGGUGAUGCCUUCUUCCCCGCGCACACGCGGUGGUGGGGGCUUGCAUACACGCUCUCAUGGCUGCGGCGGCGGCUCUCCCGCAUGCCUGCCUGUGCCCGCCUAUUCGUGCACCUGCAUGCUGUGGUGGCAGUGGGUUGUCCACGCUUUCCUGCAAGCCAUAGUGGGUUGAAGUGGGAAAGGGAGAGAAAGAUAGGGGGUAUCGGUAAAAAAAUAUGGGCCACUUUGCUCUCACAUGACAUAGAUGCCAUGCUAGCUGAUGACAUGGUUUACCACGUUAGAUCUAUUUGUGAAACCAAGGGGCAUAGACUAUUUAUGCACCACUUAAAAACGUCUUGGACCAAGAAAAUACACUUUCAAAGUUGACAGACCUGACAUAGACGAACAAGUUGGUGGACUAAUAGUGCAUUUUACUCGUUAUAGAAUAUUUUAAAAAAUGCAACAAGUGAAAGAAUCUAGCUACAUGAGUUACACACAAUUUACUAUGGAGCAACUAACAUAGGUACUAAUUACUUGUUCGCUGGUCUAAAAAAGUCAUGACUGAAAAUACUAUUCGUUGAUUUAUUAUAAGAGAAAAAAAUACUAUUUACUUGCAGAAAAAAUACGGCUUAUAUAAAACAAACGAACAAGCUGCGAGGUUGCUAGACAGAAGAGGUCAAGCAAGUGUCGUCUUCUCGAUGGCCGAUCAAUUCAUUUAUCGUCAAUAGUACGGCUCUGUAGAUGGCAGAGACUAUAGUCUAUAGCCAGGUUACCCCCGCGAGAUCACGAUCGAUCCAUCAUUCCGAUGCUACCAAAUCAUCAUGGCUCUCUCCGAUACGUAACCCGUGGAUGCUUCUCAGCCACGACCUUCAUCAUCUCUUCCAUCACAUCCAACCAACUUGACAUCAUGUGCAUAUAUAUGAUCGAUGCUAGUGUGUCUGGCGCCGUAUAAUUGGUUGGCCCGUUAUUAAUUAAUCUUCAAAUUAGUUUAGCCAUGUGACGAAAUUAAAACAGCUCAUCAAGAAUUAAAUCUUCGUGUUGGUGAUUGAAAAAUAAUAGAAAGACUCUCCUACAAAUUACCAGCAGGCUAAUUGGCCGGUACUAGGAGUUAAAAAAAAAUACAUGGGUCAUGCUCAUCUGCUGCAGCUAGCACAGUGCUUGUGUGAGACACUAACAGCCGCAGCUGAACAGCUGUGCCGAACAGGGCCAACACCCAUGUGCGUAGGCCGUCAUUUUUCAUCAACAAUAUAAGUCACGAGUUCCAUGAUUCUAAAUAGUCUGCACAGGGCACAGCACUGUCUCACUAGCAUAGAUGAGAUUAAAAGAGAUGGUCCAAAUAGGUUUCUAAAGUGGCAGUGGUAUACAUGUUAAUCAGAGACGGGCACACAUGCCCACCUAUAUAUAUAAUAAAAAAAAGAAAAAGGGGCACCAUCGAGCCUGUCUUGCAAGUCCGUUGCCGAGCCCGCAAUACGACACAUGUGGAUAUAUAGGACAUCAUAUGCCCACAUGUUGAUGCUAUUAGACACCGCUAGAUUGGAGACUGGUGUCAUGACUUUGUGCUACUGCUGGAAAGGAACCCCCAUGUUGUGCGGGAAGGAGAGUUCGCCAGAUCCAAUAUGCGCCAAAGCAUGGACCUCACUGGGCUUGAUGCCUCUAUGAGGUGCCUCAACCCUAUUGCGAAAUGUGAGAAUAGAAGACAUAUGGAGGGAGUUGAGGAAGAGGAGAGAAAUGAUAGGGUGCGUCUUUGUGGGAGCAAAUAGAGGAGCAGUUGUGCGGCUAAGAUAGUGAUGGGCGACUUUAGGGUUGUGCAUUGCAGCCUACCAUGGAGUAGAGUUUUCUUAUCGAGCCUUAGCCUUAUUAAUACAACCAAGUCUUUUAGUAGAUUCACCUCUAAAAUAUAUUUGUUAAUAGAUUUAUAGAGACAACACUAUUUCCUAAAAUAUGUCACACACCUCUAAAUUUGUUUAGCUAUUUUUGGAGACGCCAAUGUUUUAAGAUAGCCCCUAUAAACAACAUGAGUUGUCUUCUAGAACCGUUUUUGUGAUAUUGUGUUCUGGCUUUUCAAAGAACAAGUUAUAAUAUCGCGAAUUGUUCAGCUAUUGCAGCUAUAAGGACAUUUUAACUUUGUUAAGAAUAGCUUGGCUUAGCUAUGAUUUUUUAGUGCCACUAAUCCUGAUUAUUAGGCAAAUAUUCAUUCUUUACUCUAGCUAAUUAUAUUAUAUGCCUCGCCCUUGUGUUAUUUACUUAAUAUAAUAAAUAUUGUAAUAAAAAAUUGAAAAACUAUUGAGUUGUUUAUUAUUGAAUGUUGAAUGUCUAUUAGUGUUGAUUAUAGAGUAGAUGCAUCUCUGUGUUUUUUUUUUUUGUAAUUGAUGAUUUUUUUUACCACACAUGUAGUUCAUAUUUCUAGUUAUUCUGAAUAAAGUUAAACACCCUAGUGGGCCACGGCAAAAGAAGAGCUCACAACUCAGAAGUGUGAAGACUUGGUCUAAUCUGUAAUCACAGGUAACAGUUUCAAAAAAAGAAGUAAUCACAGGUAACUUGGGCUCACUGAUCACUUGGCCCAUAUGUUAGUUGUGAAUACGACCAGGCCUCACGGCUCAGGUGGCACCAGUCCAGAAGCUUGGUCCACGAACGGCCUAGCAGAUCAGUCACCGGAAAUCUCGACUUGGGCCACGUUCACAUCAGCUAGCCAAGCAAUGACGGCCCGUCAUGUUAAAAUUCAUUACACUUUGUAAAAUCAAUACCUCUAGUAUUCGAAUAUUCACUUUGCGAGAAGCUGCUAAAGCUAGAGUGAGGUUAAAGAUGGCAGGGCUAGUCGCGAUCUUGUGAUAACCAAUCCAAUUUGAGACAAUAAAACUAAACACUAAGUAGUACCGCUUGGCAACCUAAGGCCCAAUUAAGGUUCCAGUCUCUCCGUUCUGCUCAGCCUCACCCUGUUCGCUUGAGCUUAUCUAUUAAAUCUGUCAACUAUUUAGGAAUAUUUUUCUUUCAUAAGAAAUAAGCGAACAAUACUUUUAGACAUGACCUUUCAGCCAAGCAAACAGGGUAGCUUGCAUUAGACGGAGGGGGCGGUGGGGUCGCAGCUCGCGAGUGCACGAUGAGCAAGCAACCACAUCUUCACUUCCAUAGAUUCAAACUAAACAUGUAGAAAUCAUUCAAUGAGAGUUUCAUUCAAGACUAUGCAGACCGCUUAGAAGAAUUGUUACUCCAAGAACUUCUCAAGCCUUUGAUGGGGUUAAAAGGUUAGGUCCACUAGGACUCUUCGGCAAAGGUUUCUUUGUCUCUUCUUUAAAAAUUUUCCUGUUUGGUUGUUGGCAUUGUUAUCUUGUGGCUGUGCUGAUUUGCAAGUUGGGUGGUGUUGUUAGAGUUUGUCCUAGUCGUCAUAGUUCUUUGUUUCCUAUUGUAACCUCCUUUGAGGACGCCAUUUGCUCACUUUGGGUCUUCUUCUUUAUCAACAUAAUUGGUAAUGCCUCUGUCCGGUCCAUUUAAAAAAAAAUCAUUCAAUAGUCAAAGUUUCAAAAGGAUUGACGUAAGACUAACUGAAAAUGCAUGGUAUUUAAUUAAUUAUUUGUAGUCAAUGAUGUCUUUGAAAUGAUUGACCUACGACAACUUCAAAAUGUCACUUAGUUGGAGUAUAUACUUUUGGCAAGUUUCCCUCCAUCCGAAAAUAUUAAACACAUUUUUGUAGGACAGCAAUGAGUUGAACAAGUAGCUUCUCCACUAAUAUGUAUAAAUCAUAUAUAGGUACAUUUGAAUACAAAUCUUUUUUUGUGAAAUCUUUUGAAUACAAAUCUAGCUAGUUACACCAAUUUUGUACCACAAAAUUUUAAGUAUAGGUCAAAGCCAAGUCUAACAAAACAUGAGUUUUGGCAUGGAGGAAAUAUUCACAGGUGCGUUUAGUAUUAACUAUAGAUCUCUUCUGAAACUAUAGAUCCCCCUACUGUUUUCUAGUUUUGUUUUGUAUUUGUUCAGAUGAAUUUUGAAUUGUUUAAAGACUAUAGCAUGUCGUCAUAUAUCAGGGCAUAGUUGUUCUCGUUUCCACCGUGCGAGUAUUUUUUUUCAAGUGGCGAGUUGAUUAAAACCAUUUUAUCAUUAUUUCUUAAAUCUCAGUCCCAUCUUCAAGUCCUCGAGUCUGCAGUCCAGUUGCAUUACUGACCAAGUGUUUGGGAGAGGUAUAGUCUUGACCAAGAGUUGUUUGGGUAGUAAGCACUUAAAACAAAAUUGGUAAAACUAAUGAUAGUUUUGUGAUAGUCCCAUCUUCGAAUCCUCGAGUCUACAACCCAGUUUUUCGUUAGGUACAUACUACUUCCUCUAUUUUACAAAUUUAUAAAAACUUUAUAGCAUUUUAGUUCAGUUUUGAUAUCUAAAUCUUUAAUGUGAAACGAGCUAAGGUUUAGAGCUAACAUUAGAUCACCUAUUUGGAGACUUUAGCUCUAUAGUUUAGAUGAGUGAAUUCAAAAUAGAUCCUUAUAAAAUUGGUAAAACGCAUGUUGCAGAUAUAUAGUGAACGAAGCAUAGAAAGUCAUGGAGGAACACACAUAAGUCACAUCAUGCAUAUGGCGCAUGCAUGCAUAACACAAUUUGCAAACAAAAAGAUGUGUGUAUCAUAAGGUAGCAACAGUGAACAUAGUACAAACCGGGAUCUCCUCCAAAAUCGUACGAAGACGGAUCGGAGGAGCAAAGGACAUGAACGGUUCCUCUCUCUCUCACGUACACACACACAUGUUGACGUACACGCUACACAGGCGUAUCACAGCGUAGUACACGACGACACGUACGGACGGAGAGAUUUUAUUCAGUAUAGUACGUAACAGUAGGCAACUCAUCAUCAUCAUCCAUGCGUAGAUAUAGAUCGAUACUCAUGGAGUCAUGAUCGAUGCUCCGGCGCCGAUCGACGACGGCGGAAAUGGAUCAUCGAUCGAUCAGGCGGCCGCCGCCGCCGUCGUCGUCUAGCUAGGUUUAGUUCACCCUGCAUGAUCAUUCAUGGAAAUGGGAAAAAAAAAAACACACAAAUUAGACGACGUGCGUGCGUACUUGUUGAUCGAGUCAGUACAUGCAUGCAAAAGUAGUAAAAUAUACUGUUACGUACUAUACUGAAUAAAAAAGCCAAUUCAUUCAGAUGAUCGAUGACUUGGCUUAGAUCUUACGGUAGGGUCGGUCGUACUCGUACGUACCUGGAGCAGUCGAUGGAGGCGCUGAUGGUGUAGGGGAUGUUGACGCCGCACUUGGAGGGGAUGCUGGCGGCGUUGCCGGCGUUGAGGCCGCUGACACGUCCGGCGGCGCUCUUGAGGCAGUUGCAGGCGGUGCGCUUGUCGGCGGUGCUGCUGGCGGCGGAGUUGAGGCUCCUGACGCCGCUGCAGCAGGCCGCGGAGGGUGCGGUGCCGGUGCCGCGGGCGUAGGCGAGGCAGGGGCUAAUCGCGGAGUUCACCUGCCCGCAGGUGACGGCGGCCUCCGACGUCGUCGUCGCCGCUGCCAGCAGCACCGCGGCCACGACGACGGCGAUCAUCGCCACAGCAAACUGCAUGCUGCGUGCCAUGUCGAUCGAUCGAGCUAUUCGUGUGUGCUGAGUGAUCUGAGUGCCUGACUGUGUGCUAGUAUGCUAGCUUUGGAAUGCAGUGAGAGCAAGUGCUAGCUGGUGAGGAGAAUAUGCAGUGAAAUGUUGGUCCUUAAAUAGGCUUGAGAUCGAUCUGAGAGCUACAAUGGCUGAUGACAGAUGUCAUGCAUGGUGUGUGCAUGCUGUUUCUUUCGGUAGAACAUCAUCAUCGUACAGUUAAGAGCCGGGCAGGAGGAGGUGGUUGGGUGUUGGGGGCAGGAGGCAGAUGGAGGAUGUGGAUGGAAAUACACAUAUGCAGUGGUUAGUGGAUGCAGAGUGAAUUCAUCAUCAGCAGCAGCAGCAGCAGCAAACUUAAUAAAUAGCAGCCGCCUAACACGACUUAAUAAUAAAUUAAACAGUUAAGCGUCAUUUAAUCUCAUCACCCGCCUCACUGAUUAAUCGAAUGAGGCCUUGUUUAGUUCACCCCAAAAUCCAAAAAUUUUUCAAGAUUCACUGUCACAUCGAAUCUUGGGGCACAUGCAUGGAGCACUAAAUAUAAACAAAAAUAAAAACUAAUUGCACAGUUUAUCUGUAAAUCACGAGAUGAAUCUUUUAAGCCUAGUUACUCUAUAAUUGGACAAUGUUUGUCAAAUAAAAACGAAAAUGCUACAGUUCCAAAAACCAAAAUGUUUUCGGAACUAAACAAUAUAUAGCCUCCCACAGGCUCACAAAAUCUGAGAACUCACCUAUAUGUGGCCAAUUCAUCUAACAUAGCCUUUUGGACCGUGUAUUUUUUCCUUCGAGUCUUUUGAUGUAACAGCGGUUCAAUUGCCUUGACCGAUGUUCCAUUGAUCCAAUUCGAUGUCACGAAAGAGGCUAUAUUUUUUACAUUGCCUGUGGUGACUAUAUAUAGUUAAUGAAUUGAAGAGCUUGUGAUCAGAUUUGUCACAAGGAAUCUCCGUAUUGCUCCACGCUCUUUCCUUUUGUUUCUACUUAAACCAUAGCCGUCAUCUCAAUUGGACAAUCCCUUCGCCUUGGGAAGGGCGUGGUGGUGGACUAGUUGAUCAACGAAUGUCCUCCAAUGAUGUUCUCAAGUGGUAUUUCUCCUCGCCAAAGAAAAUUACGCCACAUCCUGUCUAUUCUUUUGAGCCUGGAACACUAUCAAAUGGUAUAUUAUUGGCAGCGUCAUUAGAAUCAUUUCUGUACUGGUGUUUCUCUAUUAGAUGUUGGCAGGAAUUUUCCUUUCCACCCCGGGAGCCUGGCACCAAAAUCUUUUCUAUCAGUGGCUAGACCUCCCUCCUUUCUUAAUUUCCGGGUAUAUGUAAUUGAAGCCCUAAAUAUUUUCCCUGGGAAGUUGUGGAUGAGCGAAGGGACCAUGUUAGGUUGGAGCCAUAUUGGAAAAAAAAAAUAGUCUUGGACAUGUUAAUUUUUAGCCCUGAACAAUUUCCAAAGAAAUGUAGGAAUUUUGUAAGCUGCUCAACUGCUCUGAAGAUGGGUUUGCAAACAAACCCACAUUUUAUUUGUGUAGAGAGAGCACCACAAGUUUGCUGCUUCCGGUACAACCAGUUGUAGGAUAUCCUGUUGUGCCGCUCAUAUUCAAUGAUUUGUUGGUAGCGGGUCUACUGCUAACAUGCAUGAAAAGUAGGGGCCGGGAAAGCGGAUUGCUUUGCCUCAAUCCUCUUGCAUGUUUGAUGUUUUGACUCGAUCAUCUAUUUAUGAGAAUUUUGGAUGAGAAGGACCCUAAGUUUCUUUGAUAUCCAAUUAGGUCAUUUUGUGCUAAAACCAAGCGCAGUUAGAAAUUCCAGAAGGUGUGCCAUUCUAUGGAGUCGAAAGCUUUGGAGAUGUCCAGUUUUAUAAAUAGAUCGAGUGAGCUGAUUUUUUUCUGUAGAAGUUGAAUACUCUUUGUACAUAAAGAAAAUUGCCCCUUUUAUUGAUGAAUGCAUUUUGAGCAUGUGAAACCAACUCAUUCAUAUAUGGAGCUAGUCUAUUUGCAAAGAUUUUCGUAAUGAUUUUUAUGAGGCUGUUAAUUAGGCUAAUCAGUCUCUAUACUCAAACAUUGUUUGUGCUUCCUACUUCUUAGGGAGUAGAACUAUACUUGCUUCAUUAAACAACUGCAUUUUUGCAGUCCUAUGGUUGUCGUUCUUGAUUAUAUCCCAACUCUUCUUAUAGAAGAUCCCGAUAAGACCAACUAGUCCUGGGGCUUUCUACGACGGAAGCUCCUUGAUUAUGGUAAGUAGCUCCUGCUCUGUAAAUGGCAUGUCUAGUUCAUCAAGGUUAUGUGGAGAGUAACCCAACGUCUCCCAAUUGAUUGACUAUAUGUUCUUGUAGCUCUUGUUCCCUGGCUUUGGCGAAGAACUCAACAGGGGACCUCUGUUCCCACGUUGGGAAAUUGCGACCCUCUCCUCAAUGUGAAUUGUGCUUAUAUAUUUUUCCUUCGUCUAGCGUUUGCAUGUAGUUGGGAAAAAUGAGUAUUAGUAUCAUCAUUCCAUAUUUAGCUAGGUCAGUCAAAAGUGUUGUCUCGCCUUUGCUUUCUGUAUUGCGAUUAGACCCAUUGAUUUUGCCUUAAGAUAUUUCUUGAAUUCCACUUCUUCUAUUGUCAGGGGACGUCUUUUCUGUGCCUUCUCUAGCUCUCUAUAGGAUGAUGUGAAGGACGUCAUUCCCUAGUUUCCAUUCAGUAAACAGUGUAUGCUUCCAUACUUUUAACGCUCUUGCCAUGCGGAGGAGCUUGGUGUUUACUGUCUGUUCCCAUGUUGAACCAUCUAUAUAAACCCCAGCAUAUUUACCCAAUAGUAAAAAUGGAAACCAUGGCAAAAUUCAAAAGUAAUAUCCUCUACAAGAGCAAAAGACCAUGGUCCCAUUAUUUUGCUAUGUGAGCCCACUCCUCUUAUUUUUCACCUUUAUUUUGAUUAUGCUACUCAAGUGUUGUAUCUGACUUUUAUUUUUUGACUUGGCUUACUCCUCUUAAGAUGUCAUUUGUUCCAAAUCCUUAAUGUUGGAAGUGGUUAGAAUUCCUCUAGUAGCGGAGGUCAGUCGAGCCUACUCGCUCGCUGCAGCGAGAGGCUUGAGUGUGCUAACAAUCAAGGAAGAGAGAGCUCGAAACCCUAGAACAGUAGUGUUUCAGUAAAUUGGUUUCAACUAACUCUUGAAAGAGCAUUUAUAACCCCUUUAUAUAGGGUGCGGAUCCCAACCGAGAUCCGUUACAGCAAUGCCCCAUGACGGUGGCGGGAUAUUCCAGCAUAUUUCGCCACUACAAUCUAUAACCCACAGGGCUACUUGAGUAAUUUCGAACUGCAAGCUCUUUGCAGGCUGUCGCGUCGGAGUCCUGGUCCUAUCGUAGCUCGAUCCUUCUCCUAUCCUUCGUCGAGGCUCAUAGAUCCUCCGCCUUGCGGCCGACGAGGGAUCUUUGUCCGCCACUCAGAGGUUCUUCGGCUUGGUCGGGGUCAGCACGUCCUUCAUCACGCAAGGGCUGAAGGAUGGGCCCUUACCCCCUGUGAUUCUCCGCUCCAGGUUGGUUCCUGCACACAUGUCUCACCAAACCGAUCUGCAUCAGCAUUAAAUUUUUCCGAACCUUCGUCCCUUAUCGUCCGAAGGUUGGGGGCAUGAAGGUUCGGUCAUCGCGAUCGAGUUACAUCUUUUCUCUCCGAUGCAGCUAGGGGGUGAAGGCGUGGUUGAGUUCUCAAUACUUAAAUAUAUAAUUUGUCCAUACACAAAUUUCAAGUCGUUUUGGACAUGAUUUAGGAUGCCAAGAAGUGAUUAAUCAGAUGUAUUUUUUCUUAUCAGCACCUAUUAUUAAAUAGAGUUCGGGUUUCUCCAUAGAUCAACCACUCGUCGCUAUACUGGCAAGCAGUGUGAAGCCCAAGGUGUUAGGUCUUAGGUUUAAUCCCUUGCUUUCAGUUCUUUUUUAAUUGGUGGUCGUUUUUUUCCAUAGCCUGCAUGGCUAAGCGAUACAAUUGGCUCUUCGACGUUCGAGUGUGUGUGAAGUGAGAGGAGCCAUGAUUUACUUAUGAAUGCACAUGGCGUGAGAGGAGGCACGAGUUACUUUCCUCUUCAAGACUGAGACUGAGCGACUGGACACGGGAGACGAAGGACCGGGGGGUGAUUAACUUUGUUCAAAAUGUUGUUAAAGAUGCAAAAAGACUUCAAUUGUGAACACCCCACUCACCAUCCAAAACUACUUUAAUUUGAAAUAUGAAGGGAGUCUUCACAAAGUUGUGAAUAUAAGUUAUGUUCCGUAAAAUAUUAUGAUAAAAGUUGUGUGUGUAACUUGGUACGUUUGAUUGAGUGCAGCGUGAUCUAUUUUUCUCUUCGAGAGUGGUUGACUCGACAUGGGAGACGAAGGACAACCAGGGUGGAUUCAUGCAAAAUGACUUCAAUUGUGAACACCCCAAUCACCCUCCAAAACAACUUCAGUUUUGAGUACGGAGGGAGUAUCAUUAUUCCUGUUAUGUAAGCCCACUUUUAGGUCCAGAUUAAUUAGCUUUACUGCAUAUAUGUAAAUAUGUCAAAUAUAUACUUUUUGAAAUAAACUAUAUUCAAAACAAAUCUACCCACAUCAUCACUUCCAUACAUUCAAACUAAACAUGUAAACAUCAUUCAAUAGUCAAGAGGUUUCGAGAUGAUUGACGUAAGACAACCUGAAAAUGUCGAUUUAAUAAAAAAAUCAAAGCAUUUGUCGUCAAAGUAAUUUUUGAAAUGAUUGACCCACAUCAUCACUUUAAUACAUUCAAACUAAACAUGUAGUGUUAAUAAUUAUACAUCUUCUGCUACCUACCAAUAAGCCCCUCACGCAGCACACGGCUCCGUUUUCUAGUUUUUGUCUUGUAUUCGUUCAUCAGAUGAAUUCUGUAUUUGAAGAGCAGUGCGUGUCGCCACCUCAUGAAAAAAGCGUGCCAGCUAGGUACUUGUUUUAAUUUCCACCGUGUGAGUAUUUUUUUUGAAGUGGUGAGUUAAUUAAAUGAAACCAUUUAAUUUUUCGAAUCACAAAGUCUGCAACCCAGUUUUGCAACCAUAUAGCGAAUGAAGCAUAAUCGAAAAGUCAUGGAACACAGUCACAUCACAUGCAUGGCCCACAUGCAUGCAUAACGACAAUUUGUAAACAAAAAGAUGUGAGUGCAUCAUAAGGUAGCAGUGAUCGAACAAAAUACGUGUCCUCCAAAACCGUACGGAGAACGGAUCGGAGGAAGUAUGUUUUUGACGAUGGUAAAGUUUAUUUUGCGUAUAUGCUUUCACUUUUUCAUCCAUUAGAAGUGUGCAAACACACAUCUCAAUGUGUGAAACUGCUUUAAGAUAUGUGUUUACACACUUCUCAAAGCGAGUCCAAUAGAUGGGAGAGUGAGAGUAUAUGCCCUCAAGGACAAAAAAAAACAAAAAAAACUUUUGACGAUAAGAUGUAGUGCCCGUUUUUCAUUAAGUGGAAAUGAUCGUAGAAAGUACACGGAAACAACAAGCCAAAGGACAUCUCUCUCACACACACGUACGACACGGACGUACAUACGGAGAGAUUUUUUAUUCAGUAUACGACGUAGCAGUAUAUAUAGUAGACAACUCAUCAUCACCCGUAGAUAGAUAGAGACUCAAGCAUGGUCGUCGUCGAUGCUCCGGCGCCGACGACGGCGGCGGAAUGGAUCAUCGAUCGACGAUCAUCAGGUCGUCGUUUCGGUUUAGCUCACCCUGGAGCAGUCGGUGGAGGUGCUGAUGGUGUAGGGGAUGCUGACGCCGCACUUGGAGGGGAUGCUGGCGGCCUUGCCGACGUUGAGGCCGCGGAUGCCACGGGCGGCGUUCUUGAGGCAGUUGCAGGCGGCGCGCCUGUCGGCGGUGGUGCGGGCGGCGGAGUUGAGGCUCCUGACGCCGCUGCAGCAGCCUGCGGAGGGUCCAGAGCCCUGGCCGCGGGCGUAGGACAGGCAGGGCCCGAUGGCGGAGCUCACCUGACCGCAUGUCACGGCGGCCUCCGAGGUCGUCGCCGCCAGCACCACCGCCGCCACGACGGCGAUCGCCACAGCAAGCUUCAUGCUGCGAGCCAUGUCGAUCUCGAUCGACCUCCUGUGAUAUAUGUGCUGAUGCUCGUAGGUGACUGAUAGCUUUUGGGAUGCAGUGAGUGAGCAAGUGCUAGCUGGUGAGGAGAUUGCAAUGGAAUGUUGCUCCUUAAAUAGGCAGGCUUUGUGAUCGAUGUGUGAGCUAGCUAGCGAUUGCUGAUGAGUGAUGUGCAUGCAUGGGAUGGGUGUGCAUGCUGUUUCAGUCGGUGGAUGCAUGCAUAUGCGUAUAUGUCCAUGGAUCGAUGGUAUCUCUCGCCAUGCAUCGAAGUUAACUGCUGGGGAGGAGGUGGUUGGGUGUUGAGGGAGGAGGGCAGAUGCUUGUUUAGUUGUUGUAAUACCCGAUUUUAAGGACAAAACCAGAUAUGCACCAUAUGUGAGUUUUAAAAGCCAAAUCUCACAUAUAGCUACAAAUAAGGGGUAAUAUCAAAAGACAAUGCAAAAAUUAUAUAACGUACAUAAUAUAAAAGAGAUAACCUUUGAUAGCAAACAACGGAUAGACAACUCCAAACUCCGGGUAUUAACUUCUCUCUACAGGAUCCAACUGACUGGUUGAUCACAAGCCUAAACUUCUCCUGAGGUUUGGGGGAAAUAGCAAGAGUGAGUCCAUGUCAAACUCCACAAGUAUAGCAACUAGAUUGUAUAGCUCCCACAAUCUCAUGAUCAAUGUGACAUAAAUAAUGUAAAGCAUUAAACAAUAAGCAAUGAGCAUAUUUAACACACAAGAUUCAUCACCCUUAAUGUAGAUGUCCCCAAGGCCGUUCCUGACCGUGAGCUCGGCUAGUAUACUAGUUUUAACACUCUGCAGAGGUUGCACAUCUUUACCCAUGAGUCAUGAUUUACCCUUUCGCCCGAGGUGAUCAGCCUCUUAACCCACUUCCAAGGAAGGUCGGCAGGGAUCACUAUGAAGCCUUUCAAAAGUUCGUCUAACAUGUUAGGGCCGCAAGGUUUCCUUUGCGAGCAGAUAUAGAUACCCCCCUUCCGAAUGGCACAAUGACGCGCAGCCUAUACACAUAGGGACAGGGGCUCGCACUAUACCCGUGUCGGUUCAGCCCCUCCGCCCUUUCGGGUAACCUCUAACAAGCUAGAAAAGGUCUUCAUACUGAGCUAAAGCCAGAGCCAUUAUAGCCCUCAUGGUUGCACUGUUAUCCCGGGUGAUCACGUACAGACAAAUCAUCAAGUUGUUAAAAAGUCAUUUUUACCAUUUAUUACUUAACAUUAAUCUAGUCACAGGAUCAUGGUCACAGAAAUAAAAUCCAAAUGCUAUACUUGCCUCAAUCCAAUUGCUCUUGCUUAUCCUUUUGGUCCUGCUGGUCUCACUUGUUGCCAAAGCUUUGAUCUUGAUCACCGAAACUGCUCUCCGUCUAAACUCGAUCAUCGAUCAUCAACACACAAACAAUCGGACACAACAUACACGUAGCAAACAAGGCUAUAAUUAGAACAGUACACCAAUCAUAUAAAAACAAUAUGAAAAAUUUGUAAAAUAAUUCUACGCAUCGCUACGAUCUCACAGACGUAAAGAUGACGAAAAUCGGAGUUAAAACGGAAAAGAUAUGGAUUUUCUAAGAUUUUAUAUAGAAAAGUAAUUAAUUAAUUAAGGUCACGAAAUUAAAAGGUUUCAAACUGAGUGAACAAUAUUACUAACAUGUAGUGCUCGUGAUUACGAACCUAACACAAUUUCAAUGGACAAAACGGAGUUAAAACAGAGAUGAUAUGGCCUAAAUAAACUAGCGUAUUUUCUUUGUAUUUUUAGGUUUGUUUUUCUAAAGGAAAACGGCAAUAAAACAUGUCUAUGUUAUAACGACGUCAUCAAGCUAGCCAGCAACGUUUAUUCGCAGAUAUAUGUUAGACAUGUACAUCCCUAGAUCGAUUGCUGCGCAGAUAGAAACAUCGCCGGGCGAAACAAAUCAGUGCAUGCACUUGUAGAGGCUUUGUGAAAUUUCUCACACAGGAAUCGACAUAUUAAAGAUGCAAAGUUACCUCUUAUGGUGAUUAUAAGAUUCAAUAGGACAUGCUUGCCGAACGAUGGGUCAGUGGCCACGUCGUCAAGAACAGGUUGAUCUACGGCAACACCUUCUACUCCCGUGCUCUGUUGCUUGCUACUCUUCACGUGGCCAGCGAUUUGGUCUUCUGCUUCUUUGGUCCACAAUCACGAUGGUUCACCGGAACAUGGCAAGCAGCUCUGGCAAGCAGGACGUGGCAAGAGCAGAGCGGCGGCCGUAACAUGGCAAGGGCAGCAUCUAUCUAGGCAUGGCCGACGGCGGCGGCUCUCAAGGGUUUUAAGGACGUAAACACUCUAGACGAAUAUGACGUGUAUAUAUACGUGCGGUCUAGAUCAAGUUUGAUUAGGGUUAGAACUUAUUAUUUUUGGAAUUAAUUAUUUUCAUGGAUAAAAUAAUUAUAGAAAAGUCCAGAAUUAUUAUUUAAACUAUGAAAAAUAUUCUAAAAGCUCUGAAAAUUCGGAGAAAAUUCUCAGAGACAUUAUGGAAUAUGAGGAACUCAAAUAACGUAUUUGGACCUCAUGAUAAGAUAAUUUGGAGCAUCUAAAAAUUAGAUUUAUGCUCAUAGAAAAGUGAGAAUAGAAGAUGGAAAAAUUCCCGAAAAGUUUGUAGAGAUUGCUUGAUGGACGAGGAACUAAAAGAAGUGCUUUGAGUGACAAAGAAAAGAUUUUAGGAAGCUCCUAAUAAAAAAUUGAGCUGAGAAACCAAAGAAUUUGGUUAUAGAUAAAGAUAAAGACGUACUGGUCAAGGAAGAUCUACUAAACGCAUUUUAAAACUUUGCUCACUCAACACAUAAAGGAGCAACAAGUCAACAUCACAUCAAAACAUAUGCACCAGCAUGUAUGCACAACAAUAUUGCUAAGGCUUAUGAUAAAUUUUAAUUUAAUGAAAAUUAUUAUUUUCCUUAUAUUUUCGUGAGCACAAAAUACAAAACUGAAUAAAUUUUCAUCUAUUUUGAAAAGAGCAAAAUUUAGGGUGUUACAGUUGUCAAAAUUUUUUAAAAUUCUCAAUCAAAUUAAAUCUUGGGACACAAUGUAUCAAAUAUUAAAUAUAGAUAAAAAUUAAUUAAUUAUAUAGUUUGUAUAUAAUUUGCGAGAUAAAUUUUGUAAACCUAGUUAAUCUAUAAUUAAACAAAAAUUAUUAAAUAUAAACGGUGCUAUAGUAACUAGAUCCAAAAAUUUUCACCAACUAAGGGCUUGUACAACGAUGGGCGCUUAUGAUCAGGUAUUGGCCGUUAAAUAGUUUUUUUGCCACACGGUGGAGUCCUGAGCGGGCGCUUAAAAAUAGAUUUGCCGCUCCGUAAAGCAUCGACGCCUAGACCGGCUCCUUGCUUGAUACUGGUGUUUGCAUGCGACGUAACGGUCACAACUUAAGCGCCUUCAAAUACGUGUUGUGUUGUAGAUUAAGGUUAUAAAGAGACGCUUAGUUACAAAAGUAUUUUCUCUUUCCAUCUAAGCGCCUUUUGCAUUGUACGUGCUCUAAACAAGGCCACAGAUACAGACAUACAGUGGUUAGCUGAGGCAGAGUGAAAUCAUUAGCAGCAAACAUAUAAUAAAUAGCAGCCGCCUAGCACGACUUAGCGCCACUUAAGUUUUGUUUAGUUACGCUCGAAAUCCAAAAACUUUUCAAGGUUCUCUUCACGUCGAAUUUAGAGACACAUACAUGUAGCACGACUUAGCGCCACUUAAGUUUUGUUUAGUUACACUCGAAAUCCAAAAACUUUUCAAAGUUCCCUUCACGUCGAAUUUAGAGACACAUACAUGAAGCAUUAAAUAUAAAUAAAAAAAUAACUAAUUACAUAAUUUAUCUGUAAUUUGAGAGACGAAGCUUUUGAGUCUAGUUAGUCUAUAGUUGAACAAUAAUUAUCAAAUAUAAAAAAAAAUGUUAUAGUACCAAAAAAAUCUUUUCACUCACGAACUAAAUAAAGGCCCUAAUCUCAUCAUCCGCCUCACUGUUUAAUCGAAUGUCCUUGAUGGCCACCCACAGGCUCACAAAACCUGAGACGGUGAGACCUUGCCUGGGGUAGUAUAUGGGGCCAAUGGCCAAUCCAUUUAUCAGUUUGCCCAAGGCAGGUGGUGGGCCACUCUGUUCAAUUUUGAGUCUAAUAUAUGCAAUAUCUUCUCUUUUGUGCAAUUUUUGUCCGUGGGUUCAAACAAUCCUGCCACCGUGUCACCGGUGGCUGAUCGUGUCAACCCUUCGCCGCAGUCCGCUCCACCACAGUACGGGGGGCCCAGUUGCAGUCUCUGCCACCGCAGUAGGGAUGUUGAACUUGUAAUAAUAAAUAUGUGAGUGCUUUUAAUAUAUAAUGCAUGUUGGUGAUAUAGAUGUGAUAAUUGGCGUGUGUGUAUAUAUAUUGUCUGUUACAAUGGAAUGUAAAAAAUAAAACAAAUACAAUUCUCGGGGUCUUCGCCGAGUGCGGUGCCAGGGUCACUUGGCAAAGCAAUUUAAAAAAACAAUUUUGCCGAGUGUCGGGGCCACGACCACUCGGCAAAGAAUUUUUCUUUAAAAAAGAAAAGACACUUUGCCGAGUGCUGAUGCUAGGGGCACUAGGCAAAGUAUUUUUAAAAAAAACAAAUAUGCGGAGUGCCGCGGCAAGGGACACUCAGCAAAUAUUUUUUUUUUAAAAAAAAAGAAAGAAAAUCUUUGUCGAGUGCCUGAGGCCAGAGGCACUUGGCAAAGCAAUUUUUUUUAAAAAAACUUUGCCGAGUGUUAAGGGGCCAGGGGCACACGGUAAAAUAUUUUUUAAAAAACAAAAACUUUGUCGAGUGUCGUGUCGGGCAACUCGGCAAAAUAACUGUUAACGGCAGAUGCUGUGACGGCCAAAAAUGUUGCCGAGUGCUGUCGUAAGCACUCAGUAAAAUGUUUUUAAUAUUUUGCUAAGUGCCUCGGUAAAAAGCACUCAGCAAAGUCUCUUUGUCGAAAAUUUUUUUGCCGAGCGAACUUUGCUGAGUGCUACGUUCGGCAAAGCCUUUGCCGAGUGCAAAGGGCUCUUUGUCGAAUGUAAAAACACUCGGCAAAGUCCUAAUUUCCAGUGGUGGGUGUGCUGGGACAAUUUAGAAAGCAAGCAACGAUUUCAUUUUGCGUUAGAUCACUCCCAUCCUCGAAGCCUCAGUUUUUUUUUUCAGAAAUAAGUUCCAGCUGUUGCUGCUGAGAACUAAAAGAAGCUUUUCACCCUUGAUUGAUCAAUGGAUUGGCUCUCUAGUUUAACAGGCUUCUUUGUUGUACUCUUUUUGCUCUUUUUUCCUUAGUUUUUUUGUUCCUUAGUUAAGACUCCACCCUACUGCCUCCUUAACUGUUGUGCUUUUUUUUUUGUAAAAGACCUUUUUUAUUAUAAUUUUUGCAUUGUUGUAGGGGUGCAAACCCCUCCAAUCUCCUUCAAAAAAUUCAAAAGUAAUAUAACCUUGCAGAACAAAGGACGGUAAUCCCACCAUUUUGCUAUGUGAGCCCACUCCUCUUAUUUUUUUUACUUUUAUUUUGAUUAUGCCCACUCCUGUUAAGCAGUCAUUUGUUCCAUUCCCUAAAUAUAUUUCUAUUUUUUAGAAUAUUCAAUAAGGCGUAUAUACAUUAUAUUUUAAGAAAUAAACUAUAUUCAAGACAAAUCUACCCACAUCAAUAUUACUUGUAUACAUUCAAAUAAACAUGUAGACAUAAUAAUUCGAUAGUUAAGGUUUCAAAAUGAUUGAAAUAAGACAACUUGAAAUAUGUCACAAUAAAAAAUUAUUUGUGGUCAAAGUUUCUGAAAUUAUUGACUUACGACAACGUACAUCCAAGUGUCACUUAAUUGCUUUGUGAGCAGAGGGAGUAUAUAUUUUGGCAAGUUACCCUCCAUCUAAAAAUAUAAAACACAUGUUUUUAGGACAGUAAGAUUUGACCAAUAGGUGCUUGUGCCAUUAAUAUGCAUAAAUCAUAGAUACUUUUGAAUACAAAUAUCUAGUUACAUCAAUUUGCUACCACAAAAUUGCAAGUAUCUUGGUUAAAGCCAUGUCUAACAAAACAUGAGCUUUGGGAUGGAUAUAUAUCAUAUUGGUGUGUACGUUUAGUAGUCUCUCUUCGUUUCAAUUUAUUAGAUGUUGUUUUGGCUUUUGUAGAUACAAAAAUUUUUUUAUGUAUCUAGAUAACGUUUAUUAUGAUAUAGAUAUAUCGUAUAUCUAUAUGCCUAAAAAACUGAAUAUCUAGAAAAACUAAAAUAACCUAUAAUUUAGGAUAGAGGGUGGUAAUAAUUAUACAUCUUCUGCUACCAAGUCCCUUAAUUACAGCACACAGCUCUGUUUUCUAGUUGCCUUGAUCGUUCAUCAGAUGAAUUAUGUAUUUGAAGAGUAGCGCGUGUGUGGUCAUGUCAUGAAAACGUGCUAGCUAGGUACUUGUUUUAAUUUCCACCGUGUGAGUAUUUUUUUUUUUCAAGUGGCGAGAGUUCAUUAAUUAAAUAAAACCAUUCAAUUUUUCAAAUCACAAUACGUUGUCUGCAAAUCCUCUGAGUCAGCCAGUUUUUCGUUACGUGCUAUACUCCGUCCAUUCUAAAUUAUGUUUUUUAAACUUUUUGGUAUAUUCAUUUUGCUACAUACUAAAAAAAUUAAAAAUAACUUAUAAUUUAGAACAGAAGAGGUAUAUAUAUAGUUGCAUAUAUGCUGACAAGUGUUUGGGGGAGAAUAGAGCAGUAACUCUCUUGACCAAGCGUUUGGGAGUCAUGGAACACAGUCACAUGGCGCAUGCAUGCGUAACAACAAUUUGGAAACAAAGAGAUGUGUGUGUGCAUGUAGCAGUGAUCGAACUAGUACAAACCACAGGAGCGAGAGGAAACGUACACGGACAUAAAUAAUAAACACCGCACAUAGUGCAUGCACUCAAAAAUAAACCCAACAAGCAAAAGUACAUCUCUCACACACACAUGUACACACGCACGUACGUACAUACGCUAAGAUGCAAGCGUAUCACAGCGUACACGACGACACGUACGUACAUACGGAGAGAUUUUUAUUCAGUAGUACGACGUAGCAGUAGUAGACAACUCAUCAUCUCAUCAUAUCAGGCGUAGAUAGAUACUCAUCCAUGGUCGAUGCUCCGGCGCCGAUCGACGACGACGGCGGCGGCGGCGGAAUGGAUCAUCGAUCGAUCGAUCAUCGUUUAGGUUUAGUUCACCCUGCAUGAUCAUGCAUGCAUGGAAGACGAAGCACAAGUUAAUUAAACGACUUGAUAUUCAAGUUGAAUCAGACCAUGCAUGCAUGCAAAGUUGCAAACAACUUGUAGUGAUUGGAUCAUUCAUUCAGAUCAUCACUUAAUUACCUGGAGCAGUCGGUGGAGGUGCUGAUGGUGUAGGGGACGCUGACGCCGCACUUGGAGGGGAUGCUGGCGGCGUUGCCGGCGUUGAGGCCGCUGAUGCCACGGGCGGCGUUCUUGAGGCAGUUGCAGGCGGCGCGCCUGUCGGCGGUGGUGCGGGCGGCGGAGUUGAGGCUCCUGACGCCGCUGCAGCAGCCUGCUGAGGGUGCGGAGCCCUGGCCCCGGGCGUAGGACAGGCAGGGCGCGAUGGCCGAGCUCACCUGCCCGCAGGAGAUGGCCGCCUCCGAGGUCGUCGCCGCCAGCACCACCACCGCCGCCGCCGCCACCACGGCGAUCGCCACAGCAAGCCGAGCCAUGUCGUCGAUGUUCUGGGGGUGUCUGAGACUUGCUUGUACUAGCUUUGGAAUGCAAGUGAGCAAGUGCUAGCCGCUGGUGAGGAGAGUGAGAUGGAGUGUGGCUCCUUAAAUAGGCAGGCUUGCGAUCGAUCUGAUCUGAUCUGAUCUGGGAGCUAGCUACAGUAGCUUGUCAUUGCUGAUGACAGAUGUGCAUGCAUGCACGGUGUUGUUGCAUUGCAUGCAGUUUCAGGCAGGCAGUCGGUGGAAUGGUGGAUGCAUGCAUAUGAAUGAAUGAAUAUGGUGGAUGUUCCAACAUCAUCUUCCAUGGACGACGGACGGUAUCGUCGCCAUCCGUCGAAGUUAAUUGCUGGGCAGGAGGUGGUUGGGUGUUGGGAGCAGGAGGCAGAUAGAUACAGAUAAUACUACAGCGGUUAGUUGAUGAGGGCAUGAUCGAGGCAGAGUGAAUUCAUUUGCAGCAGCAAUAGCAACUUAUUAGGGUAUGUUAUACUAUAACACUUUCGUUUAUAUUUAGCAAUAAAUAUUUAAUUAUAGACUAACUAGACUCAACAAGUACUUUAUCUCGCGAUUUACAUAUACAAACUAUGUAGUUAAUUAUUUUUUUUUUAUUUAUAUAUAUUUUAUGUUUCGUACAUGCGUCUAAAGAUUCGAUGCGACGAGAAAUCUUAUAAACAUUUAGAAUUUUAAAGACAUUUAAACACGCCCUUAAAUAGCAGCCGCCUAACACGACUUAGCAGGCAGGGUGAUGGCGGCAGUCGGCAGGGACGGACGUACGUGGCUCUCAUCUGAUGAAGUUGGAGGCGUAUUCACUCUCUCUCACUAGUGUGUCAGUGUGAGGUAGUUUGCAGUUGGAUCCGAGUGCUUAUCGCACAAUAAACACAUACUCUUCCUGCAUUAAGACGUCAAUUAUAUAUGGAUCGUCCAUCAUCCAUGAAUCCUUCCAGUAGUCUUCGUUAAUUCCUCCCGGCCGCAACCAGAAACAGAGAUAUCAGUACAGUGCAGGAGGUUACAUGCACAUUCACAAAUUGAAGUUGCAGCAGUGGUAGCGAUUAAGUUGUCCAGCAAGUAUGGGAGCCCACAUGUCGCUGUCUCGAUCGGAAGCUCCGCCACGUAUUACAUACAUGCAUCCCGUCCCCAACCUAGCUAGCUACCUCUGUGUGCACAGGCAGGUACCACCGACGGUUUCCCAAAACUCGUAUGUGUCCGACCCUCAAAAACAAAUCUCUCAAUUUUUGUUCAAAACAAACAAAUUUUUUAAAAUUUUAGAUUCAAAAACAAACAACUUUUGACCAUCAAAGAAAAAUACUGCUCUACCUCGAUCCGUUCUAAAAAGAACUUGGGAUUAUAUUCUAGAAAGUAACAGAUAGAUUCGUGUGUAAUGUUUAGAGAUGAGAUCUUGUAUGAAAAGAUUGGUUGAUGCGUAUAGAGCAACUUCAACCAAACUUCUAAAUGAACCUCUACCUUUUUAUAUAAAGGGGCUAAAACUCAAAUAUACUCUCGAACUGAUCCGGUCCCGACGGAGAGGGGCUCCCAUUUAUCUUUCCUCUAGAUGUAUGAGGCGGUGUUUCGGAUGGUUUGAUUCAAUUCCUUGCAGCUGCUAUUCAAUGAUGUCUUAACUGUAGCUCAUUUCUACCACUCUUAAUUAUGUAUGGCGAAGAGAAGAUUAAGCUCCCAAUCGAGUCCGAGUUGGAGGAUUUCGGUGCAACGUGGAGUUUGAUCUCUGCAUGGAUCGUUAAAUCUAAGUUGAGGUCAAUGUUUGUACUACAGAUCAUAGUACAUUGUGGUUGCCCUUGUUUGUAUGAGAUCUAGUGUAGAAUUUGUUGAUACUUUGUUGGCUACACAUUUGAUGGUUCCUUUCACUUAGGUUUCUUGGAUGAGCAGUUGUAAAUGCCAUUGCUUUCAUUAGUCGGCAGUUUGGUGCGCAUAGUGGUGUUCACAUGUGCUAGUUGCUCAUUUAGUGAUUGUGGUUCCUGAAUUAUGUGUUUGAGGUGGAGCACAUUUAGAAAGUAUGGAUUUGCAUUCUUCACUAUCUGUUCAAUUAAUGCCUUAGGUGAUUUCUUCGCAUACCCUUUCGUGAUCGAGCAAUUUGUUCAGACUUGGGUUAGAAGGCAGUAGCACAUGCUCAAACAUUUGCUGCGGUUAGAAUUUGUCGAAGACUCAGUUUUGUUCAUCUGAAUUUGGUGAGACACGAUUUGAACUUCCUAGUUAUUCUUGCUUGCUCGAUUUGGUAGCUUCUUGUGAAGCAUUUGUUGGUGGUUUUGUUAGUGUAUUUGACUUGGUGUUGGAGAUUUGAGCAUUUUGCAUCAUGAUCAUUGGUGUGUUGGCCAUGUUGUUCACUCAUUGGAGUUCACUCAUGAAUUUGUUUCUAGCUUCAUCAUUUGCCAAGUCAAAACAAGCUACCUUCAUGUUGGAGGCGAUAAAUUUGUCUUUUUUAUUAUUUAUUUGAAGAUGAAGGAUUUGAAGAUUGGACUUCCCUCAUCAAGAAUCUUGAUGUGUUCGCUCUAUGGUUCAAUCGUCGCCGAGGUAUAGAAUUGUGAUGUUGCAGCUUCUAAUAACACCAUUUGAGGCUUUACAUUAUGCAGAAUGUUACCUAUAUGUUUGGUUAGGUGUCUAGGAACUUAUUUGUGGUAAUCUGUAACUUUGAGAGCCUUUUAAUGAAAUGCCCAAACCAGCCCAAAAAGGGCAUCCCAAGCUCCCUGCUUCUGUAGGUGCAUGCUCUUCCCCUUUGGGGGGUUGAGAGAGGCCGGGAGAGGAGAUUUGAGGGUGGGGCUUUGUUUUACCAAAUCUGAACAUUAUAGAGUGAAAUCGGAGGGGAUUUAGAGCCUUCGCCAACCUUGUUAGUUCACGCCUCUUGUAUCAUCAUCUUCACAGUGGAUUGCUUGCUCGUCGCCGCCUGUGGUUUUUCCUACAAGGGGUUUCCACAUAAAUCUUAGUCUCUACCUAUGAUUCAGUAUUUAUCUUGCCAUACUUGUUGAUUCAUACCAAUCUUGCUUACAUGGUGUCAUUUCUCCAAGUUCAUGGUGUAUGAUUGAUAUUGACGUAUGAUGCAUACAUGCAUUCUCUUAUAUGUUAAUGAUGGGGAUUGAUGUGUUAGUGAGUUCAUAUUUACAAGUAUACUCAUUAUUGUGAAGUUUGCAUAGCACCAUGUCUGAAGAAUUGAUAAUAUGGGUCUGAUUUGUAUUUUGCACAUAAGGUGUUAGUUGAAAUAUUCAUGAGUAACUAGCUUGCUAAUUUUGAUGUUUCCUCUGCCUCUAUGCGCUUACAAUAAGUUUAUGGAAUAAAUUUUAGAUCCUUAAUUGAUAUUUAUCUUUGGAAAUAGAGGAAGUAAUAAAUGGUCCCAAUUUGCUAGCCACUUGUACAUAGUUAUACUAUAUACAAGCUUAUGCAAGUCAAAAUGUAAAAAACAAGAAGAACCAAGAAACAUGAACAAAAUACAUACAUACACUUAUGCAAGAUGUAGUAUAUAACUUUUAGGACAAUAUUUAUUUUGGCUCUGUUUCACUAGUGGAGUAGCUUUUUCCACUGGUAAAGGUAAAAUUGUUUUAGUUGUUUGGUCAAACAACUUCUCUAAUUCUUAAAAACAAAAAAUGACUAUAAUACUCUUUUUUGGCUGGCCGAGCUUUAAAAUUUUUAUCUUCUUUUUUAUGAAUUCUUCUUUAUGUGGCUACCAUCUGUUUGUCCUCCCCGCUUAUCCCCUGGUGCCCCGACCCGUCCACCUCCGCCUCAGCUUUGCCACCUUCAUCCUCAUCCAGCCACCAGAUGUUUCUCCUCAGUGUUCAUCCCAUGGUCCCCGCCCAUCUCCCACCGGUGACUCCACCCCUCACACCUCAAUGACUCCACCCCGCCCUUGUUACAUCAUUCUUCGUUGUAGUUUUGUUUGCAUCCAAUGACUUCAGUCACCCCCACAACUCUAGCCCCAUGCCACACUUGUCAUGGUGCAUGUAUUUGCCGCACCAUGCCUAUACAAAGAUGGCCCUCAUGACUUGAUGGAAGAGCUAAGCAAAGCCAUUUUUAGCUUCCCUAGAUGUGAGCGCGUGUAAGAUCGUGUUUUCCGAAGUUAGCACGAGGAGUAGCAACAGCUUUCAAGAUGGCAACGGGCCCCGAUCCCCGAUGGGGAUUUCAUCCAUUAGGGGACGAGAACGGGAAAAUUUUGAUCCCCGUAGGGGGACUUCAUGAGAAAGAAGGAUCCUCCAUCAGGUGAAGCGGGGAUGCAAACAUUCUAGGCUUCAUCCUUUAGCCUGACCCAACAAAUGAAAUAGGUCCAGUUUCUAACACCUAAAAAAAUCAUAUAAAAGCAAGAGCAUUUGUAACCCUAGUGAUCCACCAUUGCUUCUAGGCUUCUAGCUGAGUUGUCACUUCCACCGGUCCUCCUCCACUCCUCCUGUAUGCCUCUAAAGUCCAAGCUCAUCCUAUCUCCCUCUCUCCCCUCUACCCUCUGUCUCGCACCAACGACGUUGUGGUGGCGGUGAUGCUUGCGGGCUGUGGCCACAUGCUCUGGUAAGCAAGCACUGCUCUAGGGUUGAACCUGACAACAGCGGAGCCACGGAUGAGGUGUUCAAGGGAAGACGUGAAGGGCAACACCAAGGGGUUUAUCGGGGAUAGAGACCCCGCCGAGUGUGUAAUCUCGGGGACAGGGAUGGGGAAAUCUGGUACCCAGGUGCAGGGAUAGGAACAGGGACGGGGAGCGGGGUGUUUUUCUUUUCUCAUGGUCAAAACGUUCAAGCAAAACCUGACGGGGAUAGCCCCGUUGCCAUCUUUAAACGGCUCUCCUUCACCUGUUCGGUAGACGAACACGUAGACCAACUCUAGGAGCAGUUUGAUUUACAUUUCCUGACGGUUGACGGAGUUAGUAAUUAAUUACGUAAGAGUAGUUGAAGGAGCUUCCCGGCACCAUAUACUUGCGAGUGAUAUGCAGGGGUUACAAUAAUUACAGUUUACAAUGCUCGUCUCUUUAAUUAUGCGACGGGACGUGACGAUGGCCCAGCGGCUCAGCUGCAUGCAUGGAUCAAUCGAUCGAUCGCCAAUUAUCAAAAAAACCAAUCGAUCGACAGCUAGGUAAACUACCAGCUGCGGAUUAUAAAUUAUUCACGCUCAUCAUAUACAUAUAUAAUUAUAUAUACACGUACGUACGCUUCUGAGUACGAGCGACGAAAGUGUGGUGCAAGUGCAGCGUACAUGCCGGUACAGCGGCCAUCAUAUCAAGAUAUGUAUCCAUCUCCUACUACUGUACACAUUUGUAUCCUUACGGAGAUACAGUAUAUCAAGAUCAUCCUCUGACUCACUGCAUAGUCUGCACCGCAUCACGUACGUGCCGAAUACGUACAAGACUGAUUCAUGCUACAUAGUACGUGCGCCACACUCCUCGAUCGAUCGGUACAUCUUCACGUGUCCAUGUUCCUCAUCAACGAAUUAAUGCAUUUGUUUUCACAUGCCGCAUGCAUGAGAGUCGUCGGUCGUGGUGCCACUGUGCACACAUGCUUGAGUCCUUUGCUUUUCCUGUGCUCCAAUUCUUUUUUUCCAUAUACUCUACUCCCCGUCCCAAAAAAAGUGUCGUUUUAGAAUUUCAAACAUCUUAUUUGAUCAUCCAUUUUAUUCAAAAUUUUUACAUAAGUAUUAUAAAUUUUGUUAAGACCUAUUUAUCAUUAGAGAUACUUUACUAAUGAUUUAUUUAUUUUAUAAUUUACACAAAAUUUUUGAAUAAGACGAACGAUCAAACACGAUUUCUAAAAAUAAAAAACGUCACUUUUUUUAGAAUGGAGGGAGUACAUUAUUUUCAGAUGCCCAUCCUAGAGUAUGUAGUACCAUUCCAUGUAACAGCUAGUACCUUGUACCUAGGAUGGAGUACGUACUACUCGUGCUUGCAGUAGCGCGCGAAAGUGGACGACAGCACGCCCAUACGGCCAUCCGCUCACCAUUGUCUACAUCCUAGCUUUCUACGUACGUGUGUACCUGUACAUAUAGUCAUAAACCUAUAUCUACAUUUUUUAAUAAUAAUUUAUAUCCAUACCCUAAUAAUUUUAAUAAUAAUGAAUAAUAAAAGAAGCAAAAAAUUUCCCAUCCCUCCUAUUACUGCUUUAAGUAAAAAAAAAGACCUUCACGGACGCGGCAACACUUGUGUUAGGAUGAAAGAUAGAAAUGAGGCACAGCCAAUCUGUCGUCUUGUGAUGAAUUACGAAAAGAAUAUUUGUCAUCAGAUCAGUAGUAGAAUUAACAAUCACACGUAGAACAGACACAAUGAUUUAUGUGAAAGACCUUUUCAAGGCAAGAAGUAAAAACUAUGGAACCAAACGCUCUACUCCAAGCUUCCACUAUAAGUACAAUGAGUGUAGAAGGAGUUUUAUCUAGGGAAUCUAGAGUUAACCAGCGAUAACACAUUCAUCAAAUUACAAACUUGCCAUCAGUUAGAACCACAACCUUCUAACAAUAAGAGGAAUGACAACAACGAAGUAAAGAACUCAUAUAUUUUGUUCCCCUUUGGUAUCAAUUUAUAUCUCAAACUAUAGCUUUAUUGUGCAUUAAUUUUGAAAUGCAUAUAGAUCCACAAGUCCCCUAGCCACUGAUCAAGUUUUAGCUCAAUUGGACACCAUUUCACCAUCCAAAACAAUCAUCUACCAAAAUUUCUCUCUGUCUUGAAACUUAGUAACCAGAGCUGACAAAACAUACCCUUUCAAAUCUGGUGCUCUAAUCAACCGAUCCUCAAACCAACUGAACAUAUCAAACUAACCUAAUUGAGGAAUGAGCUAACCAAGUUUGGUCCCAAUCCAUCUAUGUUUGAGCCUACAAUCACUGGCUUUAAGAUGGCUGGUUAGAGCCACCAAAUCUCGAUAGAUUUGGUUCUUCUUAUUGUUCCUCCUCUUUGUCUAUCACGUUGUGGUGUUCUUGUGUUUCUCAACACCCCUCUCUUAGCUCCAACAACUAAAGGAAUAAAAGCUAGGGUUUUUAUUUUUAGUUUCCAAUUAAGAUUGAUCUUCACCGUUGGUUCCAACUAAAAUCAACAACUCACAAGAACUAGCCUCAGAGUUAUAUUUUCAGCUGCUUUGCGGAGCUCAAGAUCAUCCUCUAUAUGAAGGGACAGACUAGCACUUGUGUCAUAGCUUGGUCGACUGAGCUUGAGAUCCAACGGUGGGGUGGUGGGGCUCUAGAGCCCCCUCCUACGGCUACUGGACCUAUGGAGUCUCCAUAGGAAUUUUUUAUCAUGGAUGCACUUGAGGAGAGGCUGAAGCUAUCUAAAGGUUUAAAGAAAUCUCCCUAGACAUUUUUGCUAGAUCCGUUCCUAUAUGUGAUACAACCAGUGCAUUCAAUAGCCAGUAGCCACCAAAUCACUAGAAUUUAUUUGAUUUAAUUAAAGUAAAGUUUGGUUCCAACUAAAUUAAUAAAUUUAAUAAAAUGAUUAGUUUAUUAUCAUCUACUUUGGUAGAUCCAGACAAUCGCACGAGAAGUUGUAGGUGUGUACUUGUGUUACAGCACAGCAGCAUAUAUGAGCAUAUUCGUUAUGCCAAUAUUAUACACAAAGAAAAAGAGUCAUGGACGAGGCGGCAAUUGCUGUCGGUGGAUGGCUACCUUUCGGAAGCUAGCCACCGUACACACUCUUUUGGCCGGCCGGCGUCGGCGUGCUGCCAAGUGCAACCUCCCCAACGCUAAGCAGGUAGUGAUAUUAAUGCCGCUGCCGGUGAGGCUCGUCGUCGUCGUCGUCGUCGUCGUCGUGUGACACAAACAAGUCUACCAUCACCCAGAGUGGUCCCGGACACUGUAGGACACGCGUAGUGUAUGUACGCAAUGUCGUCGUCUGCUGCCCUGCUCAACGAUGUGUUCUAACUUUAUUACACGGUACCUGUACGAGGGUAGCAGCAGCUGCUCGGCUGCUGCAGGUGGAUCAUGCACACGCGCGCAACUCCAACACUACCCUAAACUUCACUUGGCAAAUCUUGAAUUUUGCAAAGUGUAAAACUCAAAUGCCAAGUGAAAAAAAGAGGCUUCUGUUAGCUAUUUCUUUUGACAAAUUUGGACUAUCUUGUGAUUCCUGAAAAAAUCAGAGAGACUUUUAUACAAAAGUUGCAAUCUAUUUAAGGCAUGCGUGCAUGCUGAAUGUGUGGGUCCCACCGCGUAGGCAGGAUGCCAAGCGCUCCCAACGCUCUUAAAUUUGAGCCAGUUGGCCCUCUUUUUGCCAAGCAUCCUAUUUUGCCAAGUGCAUAUAGAGUAGUGUUGGAGGAGCUUUUCCAUGUUUUGCCAAAAAUUAGGAUUUGCCAAGUGCAUAUAGGGUAGUGUUGGAGUUGCUCUAAGGACGUCCAGAACAGCCAUCUAAGGUCUCUUUGGUUGGACUUUUGAACCUGCUUUUGCUUUUGUAAAAGCCAAAAUCCAACCAAAGGGCCCAAAAGCCACAAGUGCUUUUGCCCAAAAGCAGCUUUUCUCGUAGUACAAAUCCAAAAGCACCUCACCCCCUGCUUUCACUGACUUCUGGGAUCCGUUCAGUUUUUUUUUCCAAAAGCCACGAGUGACCAACCAAAUGACUUUUGGGUUUCUCAAAGCCCACAUCCCACAGUAGCUUUUCAAAAGCUCAAAGCUCACAGUAGCUUUUCCAAAAGUCACAUCCCAAUCAAACACACCCUAAGGCCUUGUUUAGAUCCAAAUAAUAGAUCUACAGGAUCUACUAGCAAUAGAAAGAACAGGGAUUCGGGAUACAUAAGUAACAUAGACAGUAACAUAAAUAUGCACACUAGAUCUAUUACAUAGGGAAUAGAAACAGGUAGAUCUAGAGUAUAGGGAUUCGACCGUCGUUGGCGGCGGGUGUAGAUCCAGUGGGGUCCAUGGCGAGGGCGUUGACGCGGUGACGGAGUAGAUCCCGUCGUCCUUCGGGCCUCCACCGGCACUGACCGACGACGGCGGGGUAGGAGUAGAAGGGUGACGGCGCGGUGGUGCUUCCCGACGCCACUGCGCACUGUCGAUCGGCGACCUAGGGUUGUGAGUAGGGUUUGGCGGCGCACGACGAACUUCGUGUUGUGUGCCAGUAGCCCCCUACUCCUAUAUUUAUAGCGCAGCGCGUCGGGGGCCCACCAACGAUAGAUCGAUUGGACGCCCCCGAUCAGGGCGCGAUCCAGGGGGAAAGGCCCCAGCCGUUGGGCUGGGCCUGAGAUCAAUAUAACAUUCUCCCUCUUGAUCUCAUCUGUGCUUUCUCGCUUUGUCAACUCACCCCGUCACAAAUCAGUGUAUUGAGCAUGCUUCAUCUUAGCAGUUAUCACUGCUAGAUUAGACAGCCACAAACACUUUUCUGUUUAGAGAUGAAUUCUCGCCUUGGGCCCCUUGCUAUCCAGGAAUCACAGGCUUUCCCUUAAACCCAUGUCGGCUACAUGUUCUCUGAACAUACUGGGCGGUAAGCCUUUCGUAAGCGGAUCCGCUAGCAUCUUUUCUGUGCUUAUAUGUUCAAGACUUAUGAUGUGAUCUCGGAUUUUAUCCUUGACAACAUAAUAUUUUAUGUCAAUGUGCUUGGCGGCAUUGCUUGACUUAUUGUUGUGAGCAUACAACACUGCUGGCUCGUUGUCACAAUACAACUUUAGUGGUUUAUCGAUGCUGUCGACCACCUUUAAACUGGGUAUAAAUUUCUUAAGCCAAUUCACCUGUCCUGAUGCCUCAUAACAAGCAAUAAACUCAGCAUACAUUGUGGACGAUGCAGUGAUUAUUAUUUGUUUUGAGCUCUUCCAUGAUAUGGCUCCUUGCACGAGAGUGAAUAUAUACCCUGAGGUAGACUUUCUAUCAUCUUCCGCGUAAUCAGAAUCUGAAUACCCUACUAUUUGUAGGUCAUCAGAUCUUCUAUAGGUUAACAUAUGAGCCCCUUCGUGCCUUGCAAGUAUCUUAAGAAUUUCUUUACUAGAUUCCAGUGUUCCAUACCAGGAUUACUUUGAUAUCUACCAAGUAGCCCGGUCACAAAAGCCAGGUCCGGGCGUGUGCACACUUGAGCAUACUGUAAGCUUCCGACAGCUGAAGCGUAUGGAACGGCUUGCAUGCAAUCGCGCUCGAACUUGCUCUUGGGACAUUGAUGUUCCCCAUACUUGUCACCUUUUACAAUAGGAGCAGGUGAAGGUCUACACUUAUGCAUAUUGAAUUUCUUCAAUAUUUUCUCUAUAUAUGCCUCUUGGGACAAUCCCAAUACCCCUCGACUUCUAUCUCGGUGAAUCUUUAUGCCCAAGACAAAAGAAGCUUCACCUAAAUCUUUCAUAUCGAAAUUUGAGGACAAAAAUCUCUUGGUUUCCUGUAGUAGAGUGACACCACUACUGGCUAGUAGAAUGUCAUCUACAUACAGUACUAGGAAAAUGUAUUUCCCAUUCUUAAACUUUGCAUAUACGCAAUUGUCCUCAACAUUCUCUUUAAACCCAAACUUUCUGAUUGUCUUAUCAAACUUUAAAUACCACUGCCUGGAUGCUUGCUUUAAUCCAUAAAUGGAUUUCUUCAGGCGACAACCCAUUCUUUCUUUGCUUGUCACAACAAAACCUUUCGGUUGUGCCAUGUAUACUCUUUCUUCUAGAUCCCCAUUGAGGAAAGCUGUCUUCACAUCCAUUUGAUGCAAUUCUAGAUCAAAAUGUGCCACUAGGGCCAUUAUGAUUCUAAAAGAGUCCUUGCUCAAGACGGGAGAGAAUGUUUCAUUAUAAUCUAUCCCUUCUCGCUGAGUAAAACCCUUGGCUACCAGUCUUGCUUUGUACCUUUCUAUGUUCCCUUUGGAGUCACGUUUCACCUUGUAGACCCAUUUGGAGCCUACUGUUUUGGCUCCUUCAAGAAUUUCCUCUAGGUCCCAAACUUUAUUGGUACUCAUAGACUUUAAUUCAUCUUCCAUGGCUUCUUGCCACUUAGAUACUUCGGUGCUCCUCAUGGCUUCUUCAAAUGAAGUGGGUUCAUCCUCCAUCUGAACUUCUUUGCAUUCAUAGACUAUAUAGUCAUCUGGAAUAGGAGACUUUCUCGCUCUUUGAGGUCUACCAGAAGUUUCUGGUACUGGCAUUUCUUCUUGAGGUUGCUCUUGUUGGGGCUGCUGUUCUUCAACUAUGGGUUCAUUCGGCUCCUGAAGGACAAGUUCCGAAUUAGCCAUAGGCGAAAAAGCAGCAGGUGUUGUCACUACUAGUGUAGAUCCAACAACAACAGGCAGCGUAAAGUAGGGUUCUUGCACCAUGGGAAUGGGCACGAACACCCGCUUCUCUGCAAGGGUAAUUUCUCGCGCUGCCUUGCUCCCCCUGAUCAUCUGAUCUUCUAGAAAACUAGCGUGUCUCGGUUCCACAAACUUGGUAUGUCUACCAGGGCAGUAGAAACGAUAACCUUUUGACUUUUCUGGAUAGCCAAUAAAAUGACAACUUACUGUUUUGGGGUCUAGCUUUCCUAUGUUUGGGUUAAAUACUUUUGCUUCAGCAGGGCUCCCCCAGACACGCAAAUGGUUGACUGAGGGUUUCCUGCCGGUCCACAACUCAUACGGUGUUUUAAGUACUGACUUGCUUGGAACUCUGUUGAGAAUAUGAAUGGCGGUUUUUAAGGCCUCCAUCCACAAACUCAAUGCAGAGUGGAAUAGCUCAUCAUGCUGCGCACCAUAUCCAUUAGAGUACGGUGACGCCUUUCUGCUACUCCAUUCUGCUGUGGGUCCCCUGGCAUUGAAUACUGGGCUACUAUGCCAUUUUCCUGUAAGAACCUCGCAAAAGGUCCAGGAACUUGUCCAUAAGGGGUAUGUCGACCGUAGUACUCCCCCCCCCCCCACGGUCAGAUCUUACUACUUUGAUUUUUCUGUCUAGUUGGUUUUGAACCUCAGCCUUGAAUAUCUUAAAUUUGUCUAAAGCUUCUGAGCGUUCUUUGAUUGGAUAGAUAUAUCCAAAACGAGAGUAGUCAUCUGUGAAUGUGAUGAAGGAAUCAAAACCAUCCACAGAUGUCACUGGAAAAGGUCCACAGAUGUCUGUGUGGAUCAAUUCUAGUACUCCUGUGCUUCGCUUAGUGCCUUUCUUUAUGUUCUUUACUAACUUGCCUUUAAUGCAAUCGACGCAUUGCUCUAACUCUGAGAGUUCUAGUGGUGGGAGGAUUGAUUCUUUAACUAAGCGUUCUAUUCUCCCCCUCGAAAUGUGGCCUAAGCGACAGUGCCAUAAUUUCGAUGAGGAAUCAAUUCUCUUUCUUUUCUUGCUAGCAUCUGCGGGUAUUGCAUUCUCAGCAUUAUUACAUUCAGCAUUCACAUUCUCAGACAUAGAUAAUAAAUAAAGUUUGUCUUGUCGGAAGGCAAGACCCACACAUUUAUUAUUUAACUGUAGCUUACAAUCAUUCUUGCUGAAAUGGCAAUCAAAACCAUAGUCUGACAAACAUGAAACUAAAAUUAAAUUUCUAGCUAAAGAGGGGACAUAAAGAACAUCAUGCAACUCAAGUGUGAAGCCACUAGCUAAAUCUAGAGAUAAAUUUCCUAUAGCUUGAACUUCAGCAGCAACACCAGUGGCCACCUUAAUCUGUCUUUCUCAUCUUUGAAGGGUUCUCCCUCCACUGAAUCCCUGCAAAGAGUUUGCAACAUGAACAGUUGCACCUGAGUCAAUCCACCAUGUGGAUCUAGCAUAACUUAGAUAUAAGGAUUCAUCAACAAAAGUUAUAAUGUCCUCACCUUUCACUAGGCAAUGUUUCAUGAACUUAGGGUAUUCAUGCUUCCAAUGCCCUGUCUCAUUACACCAUCUACAGCGAUCCGGGUCCUCCUGCCUGUGCUGGUUGUCUUGCUUUGGCUGUGCUUUUGGCUGUGAAGAGCUUCCUCCCUUGUUCUCGGAGGUGGAGGCAUCUAGAGCUUUCUUGUUGUAGAAUGGUUUCUUGUUCUUUCCUUUCACAAAGUUCACAGAACCACCAUUUGCAUUCUUGAGCCUUUCUUCCUCUUGCACACACAUAGCAAUCACCUUCUCUAAAUCCCACUCCUCUGGCUGUGUGUUGUAGUUAACAACAAAUGUCUCAUACUCUUUAGGAAGUGAGUUUAGAGCUAGGUGAAUGAUGAAACCAUCAGCGAGGGGCAUCUUUAGCUUCUCUAACUUGGCUGCCAUGGUGCUCAUGCUCAGAAUGUGCUCUCUCACACUCCCCCCUGUGAACCUCAUGUUAGUGAGUUUCUGGAUCAGGGUGGAAGCAUGAGCUUUGGUGGAACCAGUAAACUGAUUCUUCACUUUCUCAAGGUAUUCUUUUGCUGUCUCACAUUCUGGGAUGGCACCUCUUAGGCCCUCUGUGAUGGUUUUCUUGAUGACAAUCUUGCAUUUGCGGUUUGACUUUUCCCACUUGUACUUCUCAAGAUCAUACUUUGCUAUGAUGGGAGCAAAGUCUCGCUUCCGAUUAGCAAAAGCUUCAUCGCUCUCAUUCUGAGCCCUUUCGGGCUCCUCUGGCUCAGUGGGCUUUGGCUCCUGAAGAGCCAAAUCUAUCUCAGCAAGUGCUAGAGCUGCAUCAAGUUCCUCGCGCCACAGAACAUAGUUCUGCCCCGUCAGCUUUGGGAUUGCACUGAUGAAGUGCAUCGCAUUCUGCGCUUGGUCUGAAAUUAAAUAUGAGAAAAUAGUGAGAACAUCAACAUUAAAUCUAGGAAAAAUAAUUGCAUAUCUUAAUUUAACGUUGGUCAAAAUCAAGAUAUACAAAAAUUAACUCUCUACAUAAAUUCUAAUCACUGUUGGGCAGAAUAGAAUAAAUACAUAAAAUUAGAACUUGGAAUUUGUAAUAUUGCUAUUAUUAACGUUGGUCAAAAAAUAACAAUAUCACAAAAAUACUAGGCUUUAAAACUCGUGUCUCAAAUUAAAUAUCCCGUUGGUUCAAUUUAAUAUGAGAACGAAAAAAUAACUUGCGCAGCGGAAAACAUUAAUUUAUUUACUAUUUUUAGAAGCAUAACUAGCUAACUGUGCUUUCUAAUUAAUAUACACGUUGGUGCAAAUUAAAUAGAAUUUAAAACUGAGCAAAACAAAUAUUUAAAUGCUUCUGAAAAUUAAAUAGAAUAUAAAAAAGGAGUUACAUUGCUUAAACGGGCCGUGGCCAACCAUUCGGCCCACGACCUCUUGCGGUCCAGCUCGGACGCUGGCCCAGCAGCGCACGGGUGCUUCUGAGUUUUUUUUAUUCUUGGCUGGUGGCACGCGGCCCAGCUAUCGGUUUUCGGCCCAGCCCAACGGCAUGCGUGCACGCGGGCGCUUGGCGGGCCGCAACCUGGGCCGGUGGCGCGCAUUCGGCCCAGCGCCGAAACCCGCCUGGGCUCAUUCUAGCCCAGCAGCCGCUGGUCGUCCGAUUUGCGGCCGUCGCGAUCGGACGGUAGAGUGCGCAGGUCGGAGGCAUAAAAGCCGCCGGCGCCAGGCUCUCUCUCCCAAACCCUAGUUUCUUUCUCCUUUGCUUCCUUCCUGACUCAGCAGCCGACGGCGCCGGCGCAGGAGCCAGACAGCCGCGGCAAGGGCCUCGCCGGCGCCGGUGAAGACGCCGUCGUUUCGGCCGCUCCCUUUCUCCUUUCUGUGCUUUCUUUUGCUUUUUCUCUCUCCAGUCCACUUGCGCCCAGCUGUAGAGAAGGACGCAGUGCUUUGCCGGCCGGAAAGAGUGGCGCCGCCGCGGUUCCUAUCGCCGGAGCGCGCGCUUCCCGUGGUGGGUGAGCGCGCCGCCGUCGAUAAGAGUCGCGAUGGUGCCCUGCGCUUGGCCCCCAUGCGGGAUUCCUCCCUGGUUUUGACCACCCCGGCCGCUAUGGUCGUGAGGCCGGGAUGGGCUAGCGCCCAGGUAGGGUGUUCCUUUAUUCUUUGUUGUUUGAUCUAUGCUUUUAGGGUUAGGAAAUCCCUUUUCUCGAUCUUUCGCGUUUGGAUCUGGGCGCUAGGUUUAGGGUUUGGGAAAAAAAAUAAAUCCUCUCCUUCUACUUGCUGGGCUUGUUGGGUAAAUCCCGAAAACCCCGAUCUAUUACUAGAUCGGCUGAUACCAUUGAUAGAUCUACAGGAUCUACUAGCAAUAGAAAGAACAGGGAUUCGGGAUACAUAAGUAACAUAGACAGUAACGUAAAUAUGCACACUAGAUCUAUUACAUAGGGAAUAGAAAUAGGUAGAUCUAGAGUAUAGGGUUUUGACCGUCGUUGGUGGCGGGUGCAGAUCCAGUGGGGCCCAUGGCGAGGGCGUUGACGCGGUGACGGAUUAGAUCCCGUCGUCCUUCGGGCCUCCAUCGGCACUGACCGACGACGGCGGGGUAGGAGUAGAAGGGUGACGGCGCGGUGGUGCUUCCCGACGCCACUGCACACUGUCGAUCGGCGACCUAGGGUUGUGAGUAGGGUUUGGCGGCGCACGACGAACUUCGUGUUGUGUGCCAGUAGCCCCCUACUCCUAUAUUUAUAGCGCAGCGCGUCGGGGGCCCACCAACCAUAGAUCGAUUGGGCGCCCCCGAUCAGGGCGCGAUCCAGGGGGAAAGGCCCCAGCCGUUGGGCUGGGCCUGAGAUCAAUCUAACACCAAAAAGUUUUUGGAUUUUGAGAUUAUAGCAUUUUUAUUUUUAUUUGACAAAUAUUGUUCAAUCAUAAAGUAACUAAGUUUAAAAGAUUUGUCUAGCGACUUACAGACAAACUGUACAAUUAGUUUUUGUUUUCAUCUAUAUUUAAUGCUCCAUGCAUGUGCCACCAGAUUCAAUGUAACGGAGAAUCUUGAAAAGUUUUUGGUUUUUAGGGUGAACUAAACAAGGCCUAAAUAACUAGUAGAUACAUAGUAUUUUAUUUCACAUGGAGGAAAGAGAACGUGAAAACUGAGGCCUUGUUUAGUUUCAAUUUUUUUUGCAAAAUAGAUACUGUGGCACAUUCGUUUGUAUUUGACAAAUAUUAUCCGAUCAUGAACUAAUUAGGAUCAAAAGAUUUGUCUCGCAAAUUACAAUUAGGGUUUUAUAAAUGCAUUCCCCCCAUCAACCUUUAUACUCACUUUGGCUUCCCCUUUUAUAGGACACUAUUACUUGGGGAAACCAGUUUACACUCCUAUCCUACGACACAGCGGCUAUGGUACAUUAAUGGAAUACGCUUAGCCACAAACAUAAUUUUAGGGUUACUUUGGGGCAUUCCACCUUGGCAACCGCCUUAAUUCAUGGGCCUUUUCUAGUGCCCACAGAGGCCCAUCUAUCACCUCAAGUUCUAGGCACCGUAGGGGCCUUCUCGUCAGCCUUCACUAGAAAAGCCCCGCCUUCCGCCGCGAUCUGGGCUCAUGCUACUCUGGACCUUCACUGCUACACUACCACCUUCGCCUUGUGCUCCAUCCAAGGAGGGUUCCGUGAUGCCUUUGCCCCUCAGAGCGGGACCUUCGCCAAUGUCGAGGGUGCGGGCGAAGGCUCCUGUCUUUGUUCCUGCCAAUCAAUGAUCAUGUUUCGUGCAUUGUUAGUCUUUUUUCGCUGGUGUAUCCCCUAGCUGCCAUAGCUCAUAGUUCCAUGUCCCAACAAUGUCUAAGAGCAAUUUCACUAGGAACCCUUAAAUUAGGGUUCCCACUUUUGAUUCGAGGGUUAUUCAACUUUUAAGUUUUUUUUGCAUCUAUUGUAACAACUCUCAAAUCCAUUUCAGUAGUCACGGAGACACAAACACAUGAGAUUCACUCGCCAUUCUCUUCCUAUGACCAUAACUACCUUCGCUCCAAUCAACUAAGCUAUGACUGACACGGGGUGGAGCAGCAGUAACCUCAUUAGGGAGGGGUUUGUGCCAAGGGCAGAGGAGCCGAUGAUGAGAGAGUAGCCACGUUGGGGACUGACCUUGUAAGAAUAGGGAAGGACCUCACUAGGGGAUGGGACAAGCACUAGGGAGAGGAGUCACGCUAGGGGAUCGAGGAUGGGGUAAUAAGGGUCUCGUUGGGACGGGGAAGGACCUCACUAGGGGACAAGACAGGAGCUAGGGAGAGGAGCCACAACGGGGAAGGAUCUCACACAUAGGCGGACAAACCUCACUGUGAGAGCCACGCUACAAGGAGGGAGACCCCUUAGGAAGGGGCACGCCGCUAUAGGGAGGGGAGUCACACCACUAAGGUGAGGGGCCUCAUCAGGGAGAGCCGCACCAAGGGAAGGACCUCCUAGGGACGGUGGAGCAUGCAAGCAACAUCGGAUGUGGAUAGAUGGACACUAUCCUCUUGCAUGCUAGGAGGAAAACGAUAACAAGUGUCAGUUGAGGGCCUAGAGUAGGGUCCCAAGAAAAUGAGGACUAGGAGGAAAAUUUGAGGGGCCUAUGAGUUUUUUUUUCUAGUCAUCAAAUUUGGUUUUGAGGGGUCAAGUAGGUGUCCUGCUAGAGAAGGCACCUCUAAUAAUAGUGAGAGUUAGAUAUCGACUCUUAGAUCCAUCUCAUUCAUAUGUUUUAUUUAUAUAUUCUCUCGUGUCAAGAGAGAGAGAUAAUUCAAGUCUCUCAUACAUUUUAGUACGUGCAAAGAGCUCGGCUUUUCUCAACUUCUCUCCACGCUAGUUCCACGCUAGUUCAAAGGUUUUUGGCCUCUCUCCCCUUUGUGUGGUAUCUGAUACUAGCUUAGAGCAAGUCCAAGAGAAGAGCUAUCCAUAUCAUGUAUUCUAUAUUUGGCUAUUUUGGGAGAGAAAAGAGAGUCCAACAGCUAUUGUAUUUGGUUUGCUAAAAUAGCAAGUCAUCUAUCCCGGAGUUCUCGUAUGGUAAAUAUAGCUUGCAUGUCCUGCUAGCCAUAUGAUUUGCCGUAUAGAAAGACCGUUGGAGAUUUUUAUUUUUUUACAUGAUUUUCUAUUUUAGAGGUUGGCUAAAUUUUGAAUUUAGCCAUCUAUUUUUAUCAACUCUCUUAGAGUUGCUCUUAGAGUUGUCCAAUAGAGAUGCCCUUAGCUAGCUCCCAAUUUAGAAUAUACCUAGACUAGAUCGAUAUCAGGCUUGAGAACGCAUAAUAGUUAGAUAUUUAUACCUAGUAGAUCGUUGGGUUUUAAACAAUACCAUACCUUUUUUUUGAGGGGAAAACGAUACCAUACGUGAAAUGGCUCACAUGAAUAUUAGGCCCGAAAACGGUUAUUGGCUAAACAGAAUUGGGCCUUAAAUGGGCGAUUAAAACAGCAAUGAUGCCUCCGUAGACUAGGAAUCGCAUAGACAAAAAGCUGUGACAUGCAUAUGCCUCGGGUGGGCUAUAAACAGGCCUGCGAUGCAGGCCUAUACACAGCCCAAUUUUUUUUGUGAACAAUACACAGCCCAAUUUGUGUACGUACAAGUGCCGGUUGCUUUUUCAGUUUCUUGCCCCAUGGGAAGCAUUCCCCAAUCGAAUCAUCACGUACGUACUUGACUCUGAUCCAUCAUAACACUUGGUGUCCACUAUGCACGCUCGUAGGCAUUGUUUACUUCCACCCAAAAUCUAAAAUUUUUUCAAGAUUUCGCGUCACAUCGAAUCUUUAGACGUAUGCAUGGAGUAUUAAAUAUAAACGAAAUUAAAAACUAAUUGCACAGUUUGAUCGAAAUUUACGAGACGAAUCAUUUGAGCCUAGUUAGUCCAUAAUUAAACAAUAAUUAUCAUAAACAAACAAAAGUGCUACAGUGUACCGAAAAAAUUUCGGCAAGGAACUAAACAAGGCCGUAGUAUGCUGUUAUAUGAUGGAAUCUAAAGAGCCCCAUUUUCUCUUUUAUCUUACCCUCCAGAUCGAGGCCACAAAAUCCUAGGUACAGAACAUCGUCUGUCAGAUGCAUCUGGUUGCAGCAAAGAUCCACACACAUUACAUAGAAUACGUGCACAGCACCAAAUGCAUGCAACGGCAACAUAUGCAUGCAGCACAAUUAGUUGUACAGUUUCCAUGAUUUACAAGCAAGUCCGGAUUCUUUUACUUCAGUAAACCAUCCUCAUAUUGCAAUGAUGGCAUGAUGCAUAUAUAGAGCGGGAGUGGUUAAGGUCGAUGAAUAAUGAAUCACUGAUGAAGCAGGGCAGACAAGGACACGGCAGCGGCGGCAGAGGCACACUGAGCCCACACAGAUGAAAUGAGCAAAUAUAUAGUACGUCGCGUGUAUAUGUUACUAUAUCUUAUUACUUGAACACAUCACUCUCAUGACUCAUGGAUGGAAAACAUCAUGCAUACAGUACAAUAUAUAAUGGACACAAAAGCUAGUAGUAUUCAUUAUUCAGGAAACCUGUGUGCUAAAGCAACAAGGUUAAAGGCAAGCAAACCCCCAAGGACGACGUUGAGUGCUGCUUUGCUAGCCUGCUACACACACACACACGUACGAUCGAGGUACACGACGACAGCCACAGCGACGACAGAGUUGGUGUAAACUCAAGGUAGUAAACAGUAAAUACUAAUUAAACGGAGUGAUCACUAACAGGUACGGUGCAUGCAUGAUCUACUCCUUAAUUUAUGUAUCUAUCUCAUUGCAUGCAUCAUCCAUGGAGGGAGUCAUGGACGACAUCUGGUAAAACAACGACGACUGCAUGCUGAUCGCCAUCCAACGAGCAUGCCUCAUGCAUGUCCUUAUGAUCGAUCAUCAGUUGAUCCUGCACGUACAUAACAUGAAAGAUAUCAAAUCAUGGUUAUCACACUCGAUCAUUAGCAGAAAAUCACUCAUAAUCACUGUGCAUUCAUGCAUGCAUGGACGACAUAUUUAAUCAAUUGGACAGGGUGAAAAACUCAGCCUAGGAGGCGUCGUACUUGGAGCAGUCGACGUUGGGACUAAUGGGCACGCCGACGGAGACGCCGCACUUGGAGGGGAUGCUGGCGGCGUUACCCAUGCUGACGCCGCCGCCGCCGCCGAGCCUGCUCGUCAUGCUCUUGAGGCAGGCGCAGGUGGCCUGGCGGUCGGCCGUCGACGACGCGCGGCUGUUGAGCGAGCGCACCCCGGUGCAGCACGCCGGGGAGGGGAACGCCGUGGUGCCCAUCGCGUACCCGAGGCACGGCGCCACCGAGGAUGUCACGUCGCUGCAGCUCACCGCCGCCGAUGCCGGCUCCGAGGACGCCAGCAGCAGCGCCGCCAGGACCGCCACCGUCGUCGCGACCACCAGGGCGAGGCGUGGAGCAGCCAUUGCAGGACAGAAGAGCAGUGGGGGGUGGUGAGCUGUUGAUGGUGUAGUGGUGUUAAGUGAAGCUGUGAUGGAUGGAGCAAUGGUGGUGCCAGGGGUAGGGUAUAAAUAGGGAGCUUUUUACCUAUAUGUCAUUAUGAAAGAUUGACCAAACCAGGAAGCCACUAAAAAGUGGUUUCGCACCGCUGUGCCCAACUUCAUCUUCGGCUAUACCUGUAUGCCAUUCCGUCCAUUUUGAAGUCUAACGGCAGUUAAGUGGUCUGACAUUUGACUUGAAUGCCCCUGGGCCAAUUGGUCUAGACAACAAAAUCUUCUUGUCCCCAGUGCCACUGACUACCAAUUCACUGACUACCAAUUUCUACGGUGAGCGCCAAAAGGGCUGGACAGAACUGCAAAAGUGGCAUCUUUCAGAAGUUCUAAAUUCCCAUAUUACUUGAAAAAUUCUUUCAUGGUUUUUAGCAUCAUCCAACAGUAAAUCCCGUAGAUGAACAGAUUGAAGAACCCGAUUAAAGCCAUGCCACAAGCGAAAGAAAUGGAACAUGUUUCACAACAAUCUAUGAACUAUGAAAAUAAGGAACAUAAAAAAAAACCGCCAAUGUUUAUCUCAGCUACCUCUCAUUCAUUAGGUAACAUAAACAAAUACAUAGGCUUCCGUUCCAUUAAUGGUCCUUUGUUCCAAGAACACCACGCCAUACAUACUACGGGCGAACGCGACGAGGACCUGGAACUGGACGAGCUUCUGUCCGAGCACCGGAUGGACGAGGCGCUCCAGCUCCUGGAGCUGCGAGGCCAAGCGCUGCAGACGAUGCAGGAGCAGGCCGACGACGACGACGACGGAGCGAUCGCGUUCGCGUCGAGCGUGCGCGCGCUGUCCGCCACGAAGGCGAGGGUCGCCGCCCGCUUGGCCUCCCUGGCGGAGAACCCGCGGACGCCGCGGCCCGAGCUCCUAAAGGCGCUCUCGGGCCUCUGCAGGCUCGGCGACUCGGAGCAGGCGAACCACCUGCUCUUCCAGGUGCACCGCGCGAGCGUCGUCCGCGCGUGGAGGAGCUGCGCGCGUCGCGAGGCCACCACCAGAGCAUCGCCGGCGCCGGCGGCAACUACAUCAAGGACCUGGCGCCAGCGGACGCCGAUGCUGGCGGAGCCACCGAGAGCGCCGGGCCGGCCCUGGCGACCCCGCUUCCUCCUCGUCCCCUCUCCGCCUCAUGCUGCUGCUGCGGAGGCGGCGCGAGGGAGCCGGUGAGGAGCUGCGUGAAGGUCGUCGCGGCCCCGGAGGAGGAGUUGGCGCCUCCGCCUCCGCCGUCGUCGCUGUCAGAGGAGGGGAAGAGCGCUGAGGCGAGCGUGAGCGGGCCCGGGCUGGCGUCACCGGCGCCCGUAAAGAGCGACUCCGCCGCCGAGCGCGGUGGCAGCGCCAGGCGCCGGCGUUGACUUUGGUUUUGGAAGAGGCCGAGCGCGGCCUCGAACGCGGGCUGGAGGACCGCGUGAGGGGCGAUGGACUGGAAGGGCAAGAAGGACAUUUUCCUACCAAGGACCCACGUGCCAGACCACUUAAACGUCACAAAACAAACGGAAUGGGGACGGAAUGGCAUACGGGUAUAGUUGAAGAUGAAGUUGGGCACAGCGGUGCGAAACAAUUUUUUAGUGGCUUCCUGGUUUGGUCAAUAUUUUAUAAUGGCAUACAGGUAAAAAGCUCAUAAAUAGGACCUUGGUAACUCAUCACUUAUUCACUUUUUUUUUUGGAAUUCAUCACGUAAUUAUUUUUUUUUGAGACUGGAACUUCACCCGUUUUUCAUUAAUUAAGAGGGAAUUCAAUCACGUAUUCACUUGGAGAGUGUACGUGUGUGUGUGUGUUAGCUGGAAAUCUGAUGAUGUGGGGCGCGCGGCCCGGCUGGGGAGCUGAUGAGUGAGGCUUUUUGAUAUUGUAUCAUUUUCAUUUUUAUUUAACACAUAGUGUUCAAUCAUAAAGUAAUUAGAUCUAAAAGAUUCGUUUCACGAUUUAUAGAUGAUAAUCUGUACAAUUAGUUUUUGUUUUUAUCUAUAAUUAAUGCUUCGUGUAUGUGCCGUAAGAUUCGAUAUGAUAAAAAAAUUUGAAAAGUUUUUAGAUUUUUGGGUGAAUAAACAAGGCCCGAGUGAGUGCAGGUGAAGUGUUACUGCAGUGGUGGUUGAGCACGCACCAACCAGGGGGAUCGUACGUUUGAUGAGAUGUGAGAUGAGAUGCGAUGCGACGAGGAGAUGAAUGCAUGCACGUGAACCUGCUUCUCGUUUGUAUUCGGACUUUUGGUACGUACAAACAAAGCCUGUGCAAACGUUCAUCAUUGUGCUGCUUGUGCAUAUUGAUAUACACGACAUAUGCACGCUGCAUAUACCCUGUGUACUGUGGUGCCCGUGACUGCCGCCGGGCACAUAACAUAGGAGUAGUAUGAAGUCUUCAAAGUCACGACUGAAAGUCUUUUUUUUGCUAAUAUGUUGUAAAAAAACAUUUCUAAAUAAUUAUUAGUAGAUUCGGUAGAUGAUCUUAAUUAAUAAGUGAACAAGCUAAUGGUUUUAAUUUGUGCUGUGGACACAGCUACAUAGUACGAUGGGAUGGACAGUGUUUCCCACCAGCCUUACCGAGUUUACCGUGCAACGAAUACGCGCCCGUGACACACACACGCUGCAUAUGCAUGAGCCUUGGGCUAUAUAUACCAGUACGCGUACGUACGUACGUAAACGUACGGUCGUAUAUUGUACUCGCGCGCCUACAUAUAUCAUUCUCGGAAUCGUAACAUCCUCCCUCGCUCGGUCUGUCACGAUCAUGAACGUAAGACGUGUUCAUCAACUUUGGAACUGGUGCACAUAGUACUGCUAGGCUAGCUGAACGUACGUCCCAGCAAACACGUACGGAUAGAUAGAUGAUCCAGGACUAUUAGCAAUUAACUGCCUUCAAUUCUUAUGUCGCCGGCCGAUCGUACUGCAGCGCAUGCAUGCAAAUGCAAUAGUAGUAGAUAGAUAGAAUUGCAGUUGUUGAUAGAGCUAAGCAAAAGCACGCAAUUAAGUUCACCUUUAGCUUUUCUUUGCAUUGAACGUGUAACAUGCAUGUUCACAUCUUGAUGAUGGUAGCCUGAAAAUUCUGGUGAGGUAGUUGCCACCUAGCCAAGCAUUGCAUGAACCAACUACUACUGUACGUCCUCUCCGUUCUACAAAGAGAAAGGAGUACAUUUUUAACAUUCUAAACUUGUCUAUAAACCUGUUCUCUCUCUCUCUCUCUCUCUCUCUCUCUUCCACACCACCCAAUCCCUUGACCUCCCUCCCUCCCACAACCACUUUUAGCGUCUUGCAUUUGAUGGCAUAGGUUACGAGGACUCAUAGCAUUUUCAACAUUUUGUUCUAAACUUAGGAUACAUUCUAACAGGAAAUCAGCUCUAAGUAUUUCUCUUCUUCAACAGUUACCAUAUAUAUCAUCUUAAAUAAUAUAUAGGAUGGACAAUAUAUAGUCCACCAUCAAUAUAUCCAUCCACCCACAUAACCCCUCUCUCUCUCUCUCUCCCCCACACCACCCAAUCCCUUGACCAACCUUCAUCCCCACAACCGCAUUAGCAUAUUGCAUUGAUUGCCUCGGUUACAUUCUAAAUCCUUAUAUAGGAUACAUUCUAAUAAAAAAACGUCUCUUCAUAUUUAUUUUUUCUUCAAUGGCUACUGCGUGUCAAAUACUCCAUACAACAUCUUGAAUUUGUAAAGAAGAGAGGAUAAUUUAGGAUACCACUAAAUAUCUGAUAUUGAAUAAGAGGGCCACUGAAGGAUGAUUUUUGUAACAUAAAUCUUUAUUUAAGCUCUAGGGAGACAAAUAACAGGAACUCUUCUAGAUAUCCUUAGUUACCGAGAGCAGUGAGGUUAUUUCUCUUUAUAAUUAUUAUAUUUAUUGAAAUAAGCUACAAAUCGUGUCUUUGCGUGGGACAGGGAUAACAUUAAAGAUAUUAAAAAGUUUUGUCAUUCCAUCAUAUAUAUAUAUAUAUAUAUAUAUAUAUAUAUAUAUAUAUAUAUAUAUAUAUAUAUAUAUAUAUAUAUCCCCACUUUCUUGGUGUGGUGGUACACAAGGGAGGAUACCAUGUUACCUACUAGUACUAGGUUUAAUUAAUUUAAAUUCUGGCACGUGCUAACGGCGUUUAAGAGCAUCCCCAAAGAGUCUUUUUAGAAUUUACUCCAUAGAUUAUCAUUUAGAAAGUCAUUUAAGUGGAACAUCGUUUUCUAUAUAUUUGCAUCCUUCAACAGUUUUUACUAUAUCUUGCGCGCAUUUAGAGACUCAUUCUUGCUUUAAUUUUCAUCUUUGGCUAGUGAGAAAUCUAGAGUAGAGGAUGUCUAUAUUGAAGAUCUAGUUAAUUGAAGAGGUUUGGAGAGUUUUUUUUACCAAAAUCUCUAUUCCUACAAAGUAUAAAAGAUAUAAAAAUUCUUUUGGAGUUGUUCUAACCAGUUUUGUAUGUGUGGGUCAUCUUGAAAUUAAAAAAAAUACAGGCUUCGAAACUAGGGUGUCAUUUGAGAGGCAGCAUACAAAACAAUUAUAAUAAAAAAUCAUUUAUUUUCAGCCAUUAUUUCUUUUUACAUUUUUGAGAAAUAUUAAUUCUUGUACUGUACAUUUUAUGGGAAUUAAUUAUUUUUACAUUUUGUUUUGAGCAACAUUAAUUAUUUUUACAUUGAAUUUGGUAUAAACAGUGUCGAGUUGAGCGAUGAAGGCCUCAGUUGGGCUGUUGUUGUCCAUGGAGUUAUUGGAGUAGUGGGCCUAGCUGGUCCUACUUUUUUUUUCCUGUGUGUGUUGCUGCUUACCCGUUACCACGUUUACUAUUGGGCCUCCAUUAAACUAAUUCCGGAAUGAUCCAUCAGCUUCGCGCCGUGCACACGUGUGUAUACAUGUACACGGCAGCGCUAUUUUAUAUCCUACUGUUAAGUUGACCAGAAAAAAAAUACUUCCCUCCGUUUGUGUUUACUUGUCACCAACUUUUUACUGUAGCAAAUUUGACUAUCUAUUUUUUUUCUUCUAAAAAAUCUUAGAUACUUCAAUAUAUAUAACACUAAUGAAGUAUAUUCAAUAAAGAAUCAUAUAUGUGAAAACUUGAUGUAUCUAAAAAUCUUUUGCAGAAAAAAACAUAUAGUCAAAAUUGCUACAGUAAAAGUUUGGUGACAAGUAAACGCAAACGGAGGUAGUACUAAGCAGUACUCAGUUUCACGAGUACGAACGAUAUUGAAUUUUGUUUAGGCCGUGUUUAGUUCCUACAGCGAAAAAAAUCACGACACUGUAGCAUUUUUGUUUGUUUGUGGUAAUUAUUGUCCAACUAUGGACUAACUAGGCUCAAAAGAUUCGACUCAUAAAUUUCAACAAAACUGUACAGUUAGUUUUUAUUUUCCUCUAUAUUUAAUACUCCAUGCAUACGUCUAAAGAUGCAUGCGUCUAAAGAUUCGAUGUGAUGGGGAAUCUUGAAAAAUUUUGGAUUUUGAGGUGGAAGUAAACAAGGCCUUAGUAUAACAGUUCGGUGUAGAAUAGCACUAUACACUCUAAGAGUAAAAUACUAUUCUACACCAAACUAUGUGUGAAUUAUGGUAAAAGAUCUGUACUUCUACACCAAACUAGAGUGGCCGGCCGGGGUGCUUCUGAUCGAUGAUGAGUGAGCUAAGUAGGGUUUAUAUAGGGAGAAGUGGAAGGCCUUUAAUUUUUCCAUAUCUUUUCCUUAACUUCGGAUCGAAAGAAAAGAACGCAUCCUUAAUAUCAUGCAUGUCAUCAUCAUUUCUUUAGCAACAAAACCCUUAAUCUCAUGCGUAACGUCGGCAUAUGAUUAGAGAGCGUUUUAUUUGUAACUUGUGAUCUCCCUUUUUACCGGCCUCUGCCUUGGACUGAGGAUGGAAAUCUGCCAUGGCGGCCAAGGUCGAUUCAUCUGAUCAGCACGCAGUAGAUAUGUGAGUUGGGAGAGAGUAGUACUGUAGUGGUGGUGGGUUUCGUGUGGGAUUCUGCUUAUGCUGAGUGAGGUUAUUAAGGCAGUGAUUGCUGAUUAGUGAGGCGCGCCAUAAGUUAACAACGAAAACCUACUUAGGACCUUGGAUCCACAGAGCUAAUAUUUAGUUGCUAAAGAUAAAAAUAUUCAGAUGCUAAUAAUUAGCUUGUUUGGAUCCAAACGGGCCGGUCUAGCUAAUUAUAUUAGACAACUACCUCACUACUUGAUCAAAACUAGCUAAUAAUUAACUAUAGCUAAUAUUAGCUAUGAGCUAUUAGCUAGCUAACUAUUAGCAGCUAAUGAAUCCAAAUAGGGAUUUAAUUUAUCACUAAGCCCCAAUUUUCUGUGAAACCUUUGGAUGAUUCAAGUAGUGUGAGAUUAGAGGGAGCGUUUCAGAACUAAAGUUGGUGGCCAUGGCUUAGGAUCUGAGUGGUUUUUUUUCCUUGCCUUUUUUCUAAAAUAAAAGAAAAACAGGCAGGAGUUCUGCCCUGGAUUAAGGAUGGAUCCAGUUUCAGUUUCAGUCAGGUUACGCGAGACUGUGAGAGUUAGUCCAUGGUGCAUGGUAACAGCUUGAUGCUAAACUCAUCCACGUUUCAUUUCAUCUCUGCUGAUCAUCAUCAUUCAUCCACUAACUAGCUAGCUACCACGAUAAAUAAACUGAAGAAGAAUAUUGCACCAACAUUUUAUUGCGGGUUUUCAUCAUGGCCUGGAUGAUCUGCAAAUUUCAGGGCCAUGCUUCUCCAUUGCUUCAGAUUCGACGGUGCUACAAGCCGGAGUGCAACCUCCGAUCCGUCAGUCAGUGUAGGACAUGCACGUCCAUACAUGUCCUGUCCAUCAGCAAGAGAAUGCCACAGGCCGCGGUAGCAAAAGCCAGUGGCUGGACGCUGCUUGUUUUGGUUGAGUUGGUGCCUGACAUUUCAGACCUCCCUAGCUAGCUUAAAUACAUGGAAGGGUACCACGUACACCACACAUGCAUAUAGUAUAGUAUAUGCACGAACUAGUAGCACGUAUCUUCAUAGCUUUCGGAGUAUGUUCUCAGGACAAACCUUUCUGUACAUGGCUCCAACAAGCAGAUGUUUCUUUCGCUCGUCCUCUCUUUGCGUGCAGAUGUGCAGUAACAAUACGCAUCUAUCUAUUACUUUCAUACAAAAAUGCAGCCUACUUCACUGAAUUAUUGAGCACUUUUCUUUUCUUUUUUUUUUACAACGAUGAACUGUGAUUUUCGAUCAGUAUGGGAACCGUCGACGGCCAAUGACUUCUGUUGCUUGACUUGUUUGUUGCACUUUCAAGUUCCAAGCGAGGCUACUCUUGAUCUGAUAGCAAGCAGAACAGAGGGAUAAAAAUGUAUAUGACAUUGUGGUGUCUGGUGGGAGCAGAAUUUGCCCUGUUUUGAGCACUUUCAUUUCAGAGAUAGACACAGAGUUUGCUCUACAGACUACAGAGAAUAAUCCAACGAUAACUAAGUACACAUUGAGUGCAAGAGAUUGCAUCACUAGAGCUAAUGUAUAGGGUAGCCUUUGGGCAAUCUGUUGCAGCCGAAUUUGUUGAGGAUAAUCCAAAAAGAAACACUUACCACAUUGUCUUGUAAAACAGUGCUGCCAGAUCAAUAAAGUUUCAGGACUUCAGACAAUCCUUUGGGAAUAGAAACGAUCUGUCAUCAAUCACUACCUUUUGAAUCACAGAUAGGAGUAUGAAACAAGUAUGCACUCCAUAGUGGCCUACAACAUAAAAGAAAGUUUGCUUUAGAACAUUUUCUCAAACUCGAGUUUGCUUUUGAACAUAAAAAGUAUUAUUCUGAUCUGCAACAAAGUUGAGUAAGGAAUGGAGAAUUACCAACAACACGGCCAAUGGAGCUACGAUCCCUCAGCGAUAAGACCCAGCACACAAGAGGGGCUCCUGCAGUUCAGACCGUUCAUUGCUCCAUGCAGUUUGUGACAACUGUAUUUGGUUCUCUAUUUUACAUGAACUUGACUGUGCGCAGCAUGCUUUGAACCGCUGCAUCCAAUCACCUUUGUUCUCAGAUGUUCAACAUCAUCCCACCGUUCUGCUUCUGCAUACGCAUUUGAUACUGUGAUAACAUCCCCAUCAUCCAUUGGCAUCAACUCAUGCAUUCUAUGAACAGCUCUGUCAGCAAUGUCAAAAUGCCCAUGCACUCUGCAUGCAGCCAUAACCAUCUUCCACAGCACAGAGUUUGCCUUGACGGGCAUAUCAUUGAUCAUUUGAUAAGCCUCGUGAACUUUACCAUAGCGGCAGAGCAUGUUGAUUAUACAGCCAUAGUGCUUCAUGCUUGGCACAAUUUUGUAGUCUUCGAUCAUGCUCUUGAAAUACACUCUCCCCUCAUUCAAUAGGCCGCUGUGGCUGCAAGCAGUCAAAACACCCAAAAACGUGACAUGAUCAGGCUCAAUAUUCAUAAGAUCAAACAGCUUAAGGGCAUCAUGCGAGUGGCCAUGGACUGACAACCCAACAAUCAUCGUGUUCCAGCAUGUAACAUCCUUGAUUGACAUGCUGUCGAAGACUUGUCUGGCGAGCUUCAAGUUACCACAUUUUGCAUACAUAUCAACCAGAGCGUUGCCAACAUACCCAUCAGCUUCAAUUCCUUUGCUCUUAAGGUAAUCAUGGAUUCCCCUCCCCAGCUCUAGCUCACCCACCUCCGCACAAGCCCCAAGAGCCGACACGACUGUUAGCUCCGUGGGUUCGAUGUCAUUCUUCCACAUAUCUCGGAAAACGUCUAGUGCUCGGCUAUACAUCCCGAGCUUUGCAUAUCCACUAAUCAAUGAGUUCCAAGAUAUGACAUCCCUCUCAGGCAUGUCUCUGAAAAUUCUCGCUGCCUCGACCAAAUCCCCGAGCCUCACAUUUCGCAUGAUCUCAGAGUUCCACCAUGAUAUGUUCCUUUCUGGAGUUGCCUGAGAGACACGCUCUGCACCCUGCAAGUCUCCAGAGACACCAUGAGCCACGACAAGUGCAUUCCAGGAGACGGCAUUCUUCACAGGCAUUUCAUCGAACGCCUUCCUCGCCUCCCCCAGACGACCGAACUGGCCGUACAUGGACACGAGCGCGUUCUGCACGUACCGAUCCUGCCCGCAUCCCAGCUUCAAGACGCGGCAAUGCAGCUCGGCGCCCUUGGCAGCAAACACGGCGGCGCGAGCGCGACGGCUGAGCCUGAACGCGCGGGCACAGGAUUUGAGGAGGGCCGGGAAGGCGGGGAGCGGGGUGGGGAUGGAGAGGGAGGAGACGUGGUUGAAGAGUGUCAGCGAGGCGGACGGAGCCGGCGACGAGGAGAAGGCGGAGAUCACGGGGCAGAAGAGGGACGGGGAGAGCACGCACGGAGGCGCGGCGAGGAGGAGGGAGAGGGAUGACGGGGAGGCGGGCGGGAGGUGAGAGAGGAGACCGGCGAGGCAGGCAGGGUGGUGGAGGAGGUCGAGCUUGGCGAGCAGUGCGUGGAGUUGGUGGCCAGUGGCGGCGGCGG